CUUUUUUUUUUUUUUUUUUUUUUUUUUUUUUUUUUUGUCAACACAGGGGUGUCCGGGUCAAGACCCGAAGGCGGCCCGACUAAUCCCCUGCGCCUGAAGUACCCCGCCCCCAAGAGCACCCAAGCGGUAUGUGAGGCCAGACUCGAACCUGUGCCACCCCGAAGAUUACCCCCGAGGCUCACCAGCCGAGCUGACCCCGAGGGGCUGUAUCCAGACUUGCAUUGUGAGAAAUAGAGAGAAAAUUCAUUGAAAAGAAGUCAAGUUCGAGAUGAUGGGGAGGUUCGUGUGAUUUACUUACGUGAAAGUUUCACGGAAAAAAAAGUAUUUAUUAAACUAGUUGCAUUUUAUAAUCAAUCAUACAGCGUGUAUGUAGUGCAUUCUCCGGGUACGAAGUGAUAAUAUGGCAUGUACAAGUUCAACUGCAAAUCUUUUGAUCGAAAAGUGAGCCAUUAGAUCAUAUUUUCUUGCAUGCAGGAUAGAGGAUUACAAGAUUUCGAUCACAUUAUUAUUAUUAUUUUUUUAACAGCCCUUGUGUGAUUAUGGGACAAAACCUUUAAAUAGAAUGAUGCUGGCUGGUUUCUUGAUUAUUAGCUGGUGUCUACUCUUUGUUUUCGACUCUAUCCCUAAUUUCUGUGAUUUUGUCGGCAGCAAAUACAUACAAGACACAACAAACAGCUCAUGCCCCGAAAUCUGUUCAACGUCAAAGGAAGCCCCGAAAUCUGCAAUGCUUCUAGCAAAGACCGCAAAACAGAUGUGUUACUAGUUACUACUCAAAAUAGUAACCACUGGGCCAAUGGCUCAGUGGCCACCAGGGAGGGACUUAAGUCCCUCCUUGGGCUGUUGGUGAGAGUUCAAAUCUCAUCAGCAGCGAAAAAAAUCUAAGGGUUGUGCCAUAGCACUCCCUUAGUCUAGUUGGGUCUGUAUACCCACUAGCCCCUAUCACAACCUUCUUAGGCUCCCCUUCCCCCUAGAUUAGGAUAGAGUAGGUUAUACAAAUGUAUCGUUGUUGACAAAAAAAAAAUUACUACUCAAAAUAGAAUUGUAGCUGAAAUAAAAUGCAUAUUUUAGCUUUGUUUUAUGACAGAGCCACCGUCCAGUCAAAUCCUGUAGAAAGGGUAAAAAUGUGGCAUGGUCGUGAGAAGAGGCAAAAGGAAGGGAAAAACAAACGAAUUCCCUAUGUCUAUACACUUUUGCAUGCAUGUCAAAUCCGUACAAUAGAUUGUCAACCAUUAUGGACUUUGCUCAUUCACAUCCUAAGUUUGUGGCAGUUGAGCUGGUAAAUUCUAUUUUGAGUAGUAACGCAGAAGAUUUCGUGAGCAAACUCACCACUUCUCAGCCUCCUCCCAAGUGUGAAAAUUUGAAGUCAUAUCUAAUACUAGUAAAUCAAAUUGAUUUAGAAUAUUGGGCUGCAACGUUCAUUUCAUUGGUAAUUGCUUGUUACUUUAGAUCGCACUACUGAGAAUGCGGAAAUUACUAAGCUAUUGCCUGCUGUAUAUUACUCUAUAUUUAAUUUCCCAGGAUUCUUGGUAUAUUAAUCAACCCACAUGUAAUCGACCAAGAAUUCAAAUAAACGUUCCCAUAUAAUUUGUUCUCGGAUUGCUGAAAGAAUGAUGAUAUAGACAUGUCAUGUCAAAAUCUAACUUUAGAUGUCAAGUCAUACAAGAACUAGAAAAUCUGCUUAUCACAUAACGCUUAAUUCCUUUGGCUAUUGCACUUUUCUCUGAACCAAAUAAAAUCUCACUUAGGUUUAUAAUCUAUCCAGGCUACCUUUCAACUUUACACAACUCUUUUGGUACUAAACCGAUGCAGGCAUUAGAAAUGCAUGCAAAGACUAGAAUAAACCCUCGUUAAUGUCAUCAUAUUUGACUGCUUGAACAACAGAGUAGAAAACAAGAUGAUGCAUACUACUUAUCCAGCAUUGAGGCGGCUUGAUGUUGUGUUUUUUCAAACAUAAGAAUAUUUCAUGGUAGCAUGCAACCGACCUUCGUAUUAAGGGCAUUAAUCACUCAGAUCCUCCCCCCUCCCCCACCCCAACACACACACACACACAACACAACACAAAAGUCUUCAUUGUGAUCUGUAAAAAGUGUGUAAAUCCAUGAAGAGGCACCCCGUGUUUCUUUCUCCACUUAUUAGAAAUUGGCUUUACUUUUGUGAAAGUGAAAUUGAAAAGCUAAAAAAUGGCACAAAAUUUUGGCACCAAACUCGCUCCUCAUGCUUUAUGCUUUAUAAAUAGAAAGAUGUAUAAUGUCAAACACUAGCAAGAAUAUUGUUAUAUUAUUGGAGCAAGGAGGAGAGAGCCUUUGAACAUGACUCUCAACUCUCAAACAUGUUGCUUUUUAGCACUAAUUCAACUCAACCUUUGUAGGACCAACCAUGGACAGUUGACGAGAGGUUAUCCUUUCCCCAGAAACUGGUCUGAAGAACACGUUCGGCUGUUGAAACUUGAACUCCAUGAAAUGGUGGCUGCACAAGAAAGCCACAACAAAUUAAGAACUUCUUCUUUUCACGUCAUACUCAAUCAAUUGCCUUGUAUUUACAGAUAGAAUCAUUGAAUUAGAAAGGGAAAAAUAAAAUCAGGCAUUUGGGACUUUAUGUUUUGAUGCUGUAAUUGGUAAAUGUUUUUUUUUAUGAUUCCCGUGUUAUUGUACAUGCCACUCUCGAGAUUUACAAAGAAAAACAAAAUUCAAAUUUUGGAGAAAAAACCGGCUGUAAGACUAACAAAAGAACUACUACUGCUCAGGUAAGAUGCUAAUUUUACCGCAUAUUUUUUUUAUGGCCCAUGCAGACUGAAAAGGGAUUGGCUGCAAGACAGUAGUGCUUUCAGCCAGAGGGAUUUCUUUGACAACUGCUGCACCGGCUAGUGCCAAAAAUAGGUGGACGGUUCAACACUCAAAAAAAAAAAAAAACCCCUUUCCAAGGUGUAGGGGUGUGUUGUCUGAAUUCCUUUGAUCAUGCCACAUGCCGUCUAACCUUUUUGUCACCUGAUUUUUGGUUUGGUUGUUUUCUCCAAGCAAAUGAACUUAUUUUUGAAUAACUCUUACAAGAAAGGAACUAUGAAAUAUGAACAGGAAAGAACGCGUAGCAUGUGUGGAAUUCCGCGUACUCAUCAAAGGUUCAAAGGUGUGUGAACUCUUAACUUAAGCAGGCCAUCUGGGCUUGAAUCGAACUUGAAGAAAUUACCUACGAGAAAACGAUCCUACAGAAUAGUAGUAAAUCACGUACUUUUGGGGAAAGCUCCAUGCAUACGUAAUAGGAAUCGUCAGAACGUUUGAAAACAUGAAGUCAAAUCCAAGCCACAAACCAAACGUCCUGCAAAGUAAACCCCAUCUACCAACUCCAAUAUCUACUCACCCCUCACCUCAAAAUUCCUUUGCACAAAUAAGGAAAGUACAAAGGGUCCUUGGGGCUCGCUUCAUAUUCGUUUUCUAGGGUCCACUGCAAAAGUUCUUCACCGUCCUCUUAUUAUAAAAUUCGACUAUAAAUAGGACCAGCAUACAUCCCAAUCGAGUUCAUCAACAAAACAAUCUCACGUACGUGUAGCUUAUUCCUUCUUGAAGGUGAUAAUCAGCACUCGCAGUCGUACCUGGUGGUGGAAAUGAUGUUCAAGAACUCAACAUCAAUGAAGAACUAUUCUUCAUCAGUUUUCUUUUUGAUUCUGCUGGUUAGUAUGUUCUUGAAUGUUGCCCAUUGCCGAGUCCUUCGAUCUACGGAUAGCGUGGAUGCUGCAAGCGAUCAACAAAUUGAAGGGGCUGGUUCAAAAGGCAUGACUACUUUUGCUGUUUCCUCCAACAAUUCCAGUAGGGGUAGUAGUACUAUGGAAACAGUGAGAAGUUCGACAGCUAACUUGUCUUCCGGUCCAAGCGGAAGAGGUCCAGGCCAUUGAAGUCCUUUUUUUUUGGAAUUGGACAAGAUCGUGAAUCUUGUUUUUUUUUUUCUGUUCUCUUUUAGUCUAGCCUCUUUGUUUCUCUAGGAAAGAUUUUUCUAACUUUGCUACGUUAUACACUUGUGAUACCAUGUAAUUAAAGUAGAGGAGAUGAAUGAGAAUAUUACACAUUUUCUUCAUUUUUAAUCUCGCACUGUGUUGCAUACUAAUUGGUAACUGCUCUUCUGCGUUUGCGUGCUUUCUCACCUUCCCUCCACAAUAGUGUCAACAACUAGCUAGUUUCUCUUAGAGGAAAAAGAAAAAAAGAAUAGAAAAUAAUUGUCAACAGUUACUUUUUUUUUUAAGUCAACAGAGAUCACGGGGAGGGAGAAAUAAGUAGCUAGAUGUUGACUAGCUCUCCAAAUUGUGUAGUAAAGUCAACUGGUAGAGCUUGCAAGAUUUUGCAGGGGUGUCUAGUAGUUUUCAUAUCAACAUUGGUUGUACUGUAAAACCAUUCUCACUGCUGUCAAUGGCAAAUAUUCACUCUGGUCUCCAAAUGUCUCUCCGGAAGAUGCAAUAAGUGAAAUAAUGCCGUUGCAACAUCAUUAAGAAAAAGUCAACAUUGAGCUAGAGAGAAAAAGUCAACACUGACAGAAACACUUUUACUGUUUGGCGUCGAGGAAAAAUCGUAAUCGGCCAACCCCUAAAAAAAAAAGUUUGACAUAAACGCAUAUAUGGUGGGUGGUUCAAAUUUCUCAUCUGAAGAUUGUGAAAAAGAAUUUUGUCUGACCGUGGUGGUGUUGUAACUAAAAGUCUUCCGAAAUAAAUUUUUAAAAAAAAUUGUGAAGUAAGAGACUGAUCCAAAACGGAAGGAUUUCAUGACGAGGGGAAGGUGGAACUGGAAGAUAUAUAUGCUCCCGGCCAAAGUUUCGAUGAACAAGAUUUGCUUGCAUCCAUUUACCUGAGCAAGUAAUUGUCACCUCGCAAGUUCCAUCAUACUCCUCCAUUUCAAGGCAAAAUGGUCAUCUCAACUUUUAUUACACCAUAAUCUAAUUUAGCUAACACGAAACUCAAUUACGCCCAGGACAAGCUUGAAAUGAAAACUUGUCUGAAAUGAAACUCGUGAGGCCCCAUCUGCAGGGAGGGGCGAUGUCACAUAAGAAGAGAACAAGGAACGAAUCACCAGCUCUUAGCAUCAAAACUCGAUCAAAUUCUAGCAUCAUCAGUCUUAAAUUUGAUAUCGGUCACAAGCUCAAGAAACCCAGGUUACUGAAGAUCAACCUAAAAGGAUGGAGAUCCAUCUCAUAUAACAGAACACUCAACAUAAGCUCAAAGCAUAUAUCAUAGAGAAGCUCUUCAGAGGAAGAUAUCAUUUUACUUUGAGACCUAACUCCACAAUGCAUGGUGGAAAUAGUGGGCCAUGAGAAGUUGCCUGAAAGACUACAAGCAAUAAGAUGCUCUGUCUCAAUAGAGAUUAAUUACCCUUCAGUCUUCCUAACUUCCAAAACACAAGAUGCUUAAACAUACUUGCUUUCUGUUAAGUGUUGAUUACGAAUCCAAAACUGAAAGGAAAAUCAACAAAGAAGUGGCCACAGAGGUAUAAUGGUCACCAUAGCACUGGAACAACCAAAGUGGACUACAAGAAAUCACUGAAAAUUUAGAGAAAUAAGAUACAGCGGUACAAGGAAAAGAGGUUAUGUAGGUAUAAGAGUAACUGGCGUUUAAUUUUGAUCAAACAUGCAUAUCUCUAUGUCAAUUUUCCUGUACCAGCAUAUUCAAGCUAAAUUUAUUCUGGUUUUCCAUGAAGUAUUAGCAAACAACUUUUGCCUUUGAUGACCCUGACAGAUUUCCACAGGAAUCAUCACUCACAGAGAGCAAACAAUGAAGAAGUAAAGCAGAAGAGUGGCAAAGAGAAGGCAGGUCUUGUCAACAUCUCCAUGAAUUGUAUGAAACGCAUGGGGUUUACGAAUGAAAGGUAACAUUGGUUUAUAUGGAAGAAAUACAAAUAAAAAAAUAUGUAAUGCAAGUCAAUUAAAUUUGCUUCAAAUAUGAAGUCAAUAUGCAGAUCAUCCUUUGUAUAUCCCCAAUCAUCCAUGCAGCAUCACCAUAACCUUAACACUGUCUGAUACAUCUUUAAACAUAUUAACCAGAAAAACAAAGUAAAGGAAAAGCAAUUAACUCAAUCAAUUAAGACUACUGUACAUACCAUUUCAAUAAUCAAAGCAUGAAUAACUGGUUAAAAUCAUCAUCCAGCAUAACAUUUCAUAGAAUAAAAAAGUUAUGCUAAACAUAAACUGCUCAAAUUUGCCCCCAGUGUUAGAACAGAUACAGUGCAUGCAAGACAAGCCGCACAUUCAUCUACUCCCAUCUUAAUUUACUUACCUCGGCCAACAAAUAGCGGAAAAGCAGAAAAGAAUAAAAUAUCAAGUUUAAGUCAUUUUUUACAACACUUGUAGAAAGCACAUUGGUUGUCAUUGCGUGACAUGUCAUCCAUAAAAACAACAUAUCUAGCAUAAUCAGCAGAUCACAAAUUUACUGCCUGUUAAAAAACAAAACGUAAUUUUCACACAAAAAUAAUAACUCAAGCUCAGAGAUUUGAAAACGCUUUCUCCAAUUGGGUCCUCAAAGAGAGGACUGCAAAUUUGAGACUGGACAUCUGUUUUUAACAGACAAGUAGGCAAUAAUACUCUAUUCCCCACCCUCAACACACCCCCCCCAAAAAAAAUUGACAAUGAUCCUGACUACCAGUCAGCAAAAGAUGGCAUAUGCAGCUAUACCACAUACUCUUGAAGCUAAAGCUUUCCAUCUAUGAACUUUGUUUAGAAUGAGCAAGUAAUUGCCCUACUCCUCUGGCAAGGCUCAGCCUUUGAAGUGAAAAUCACCAAUACCCAGUAACACAAGAUUUUAAUAAAAUUACAAAGAGGGAUGGAGAUAAAUAUACGAAAGUAACAAUCUAGUAAGCAUACUGUGAAACUGUUCCCUAUUUUAUUACCGUCUUUUACUUUUUCCUCUUGUAAAUUGUUUUUUUGCAAGACACAAUUGGCGGAGUAUGUCUCCUAACUAAGUGAUGCAACCAACCAGUGAGCUACUCCUAGUUUCUCAAGCAAUGUCUACACCUAUCAACCAAACAAGGAAGCUCCACAGGACAAGACCAGCUUCCAGCAGAAAAGCAUCUCCAACAACAUAAAUAAUUUUUAUCCACCAAAAAAUUAUUAGUGCGAGACGUCUCUGCUGAUGCAAGUCAAAAAUCCAAACAUUAGGCUUUACCUCAGAUAUUUUGACUUAUGCUUGCUGUACUCAAACUAGGGGACAAAGAGCGCUCAAGUUCAUCAAUUCCUCCUUGUUUGUAGCAUGAAUGAGACAUCAAACUAGUUUCCCCUUUUUCCUUCGGGAAUUCCAAACAUUGACAACAUAGAUACCCAUGCUCCCAAUAUACAAAGACAACUCAACGUGUGAUUAUUUUUUCCAGUCCUGGAAAAGGUUGCAGGCAGCAGAAGGAUAGGACAAACAACAAUAAUCUGAUUUGCAAUUGUACACAGGCAAAAAGAAACUUAAAUGUAUAACUGUUGUGCAUCCAGCAUCAGCAAGGCUGAAUAUCCUAGCCAUCAACUGAGCUUAUUACAUGGAAUGAGAUCUAUGUUGUUCCUCGUGAACUCAAAGGAGGAGAACCAAAGAAGUUCUAGUCUUAGAGUCCCUCCUCAAAGCAUACUUUAGUUGCUACAUUUAACAUCACCAGAUCAACUUGGUCACCAAGGAAACUUUAUCCCCAAAGCUAGAGAAGCAAAAAAGACUAGAAAUAUUUUUAGUGUACAAGAAUCCUUCAACCCUCACCCCUGCCUUGGUCUAAAGCCACUUUUACACCAAAAAAAAAAAAAAAUCCACCUUAAUAAAACCAACCUAGAUAGCCUCAUGUAACAAUGACCGUGAGCAAAACCUUCUAAUUGAAUACCAUGUAGACCAGAUUAACAGCUGCAAUGACUAUGAAUACAACGUUGCAACUAUCUUGGAAGACAUUCAGGAACUAAGCACAGGUUUUGAAAGCUGUUGUUUCCUUUUUGUACCCAGAUCAGAAAACGAAAUCAGCCAUACACUAGCUCAUUUUGCUGUAAAGUUUGUGCAUGAUGUAGAAUGGGAACAAGAUUUCCAAUAUGGCUGAUAGACUUAGAACAAAGGAAUGAAGGCAGUGGCCCCUUUUUGUAAUUAACUCUUGUACUAUCAAGCGUUAAUACCCAUAUACAUAAAACUGUUAACAUUUGUUGAAAAAAAAAGAAUACCAUGUAGACAUAUGCUAAUAAAGCUCUAGUUUCUUUAAAUAUUUAAAAAUUCUCUAACACCAAAAAUGUUGUUGCUAAGAUCUUCUAAUCCAUUUUUCCUGAAUACUUGCUGCAUAAAGCUACAAUACUUGUCACAUAUUGAACCUAUGAACUCCCACUGCCAACCAACCAUAAUGCAAGAGUUACUAUAAGCAGGAACCUAGUACCAAACACCAAUCCUAAGGCCCAAAAAAUUUGAAGGAUUUGAGGUCAUGAACCCCAUGCCAAUUGUGAUAACUGAUAAGUACCCACUCCGUCAAUUUUUGUGACAUUUAUCAACUUUCCUUGAUCAAUUAAACUCACCUAAAUGACAACCAUAUUUAAAUACCAAAUACAGACAAUUCAAAGGAGGAAAAGAAAUUGAAAUAUUCCACUGCAGCAGAACAAAAUGACACAUCAAGAAAACACCAAACAUGCACUGUCACUUUUUUUGUCACAUUCAUCAACUUCCCCCAUCAUUUCAAUGCACAAAAAGACAACCAUACCAAAAACAGACAAUUUAAGGAGGGGGGCAGGAGGAGGAGAAAUACCAUUGCCGUAGUUUUUAACGGUUUCUACCAAUCUGUUAAUUAAAGCCCGUCCACAACAAACAUUUUUAACAACGUGAACAACUAUGGAAAGCCCUAAGCAGAACAAUCACCAAAUCAACCCACACAUACCAGCACAUUUCCUGACAGAAAAGAGAAAAAGAGACAAAUGAUAAAGGAACAUCCAGCUAGACAACAUUAUAGCAAGGCAGUCAAAAUAUGCCCAAGAACUCCAGUAAUAUUACAAAUUCCAGAUCUCGACAUAACGUAGAUUAAGUACUCCAACUAUAAUUCCUAGAGAACAUCCUCAAGACGUCACAUUUCUCGCAACAUUAACCAUAUAGUAGUAAUUAAGAAACCUAGAUAAACUCUCAAGAAUCAAUUUUGAGACCUUCUACCUCCCCGCUUAUCCCACCAUCAUCCGCGGCAUCCUCCUGCGGCUUGUUCUCCGAUACAGACGACGGAGCAUCAGCAGCGGCGGAAGCAGAUCUGGACUUGACAGUAUCGAGCAUGCGGCGAGAGAUCUCCUUGGAAUAAAUCUGCAGAAUCUCGAUGCCGUCGUCAUCGGUGGAGGCGGAAGCACCGGCAGCCGCGAAGGCCUCGUCUUCAAUCCUCUUGGCGGCCUCGGACGCCUCCCGGUCGGAAUGACGCCGUAACGCUUGGAUAGAACGGAGGGAGACGACAGCGUCUCGAUGAGGCGAUUGAUCACCGCGUCGCGAGUGCGCUGAGUUGGCGGCCAAAUGCUGAAGGAAACAUUUCCGAUGCUUUUCUUUGAAGAGGGGUCGGACGACGCCGUUUGGUCGACCUGGGGCUGUUCGGUUUCAGCCAUUGUGGGGUUUUCGGGAGCUCAAUUUCUUCUCUCGGGUUUCUUCGAGGUUAAUUUGUGCGGAAUUGGCGUUAUUCUUGUCGGUCAUUUUCACUGUGCUUCCCCUUUUUACUGUGGCGGAGGGUCGGAGAGAUGUUUGAAGAGAAACAAUUUAAAAAUGGGGUGGAAAUUACUGCGGGAGGGACUAUAUAUAGGCAAGGACGGGGGCCAGGUGGCAAAAUUUUGUUGAGCUAAAAAUGACAGUACACCUGUGUAGAUUGAUAACUAAGAACCGUCCAGGAAAAGGCAUUGAGCUUGUCUCUUCUUUAUCCUCCCUCAAUUAGGGGGAUGGGAAAAGUUUCUUUUUUUCCUAUACAUUUGCAGUAAUUUUUCCCUGCUUAUUUUGCUACAGUUUUUUUUUUUUUUUUUUUUUUUUGGGGGGGGGGGGGGGGGAGGGGGGGGUUCAAACAAAUUAAAGCUAUAAAUUGAAAAGAAAAAAAAAUUGAUCAUUUGGAAGUCAAAGUUGCCAAGGAUCCACCUUUCUUUAAUUUCAAGCCAAGCUUUUUAUGGCCAUUGAUGUAGACUAAUUGUAUGUUUUUAUAUGGAGACCAAAUAACUGCUGAAAGGUGAAAGAUUGCUGGUAAGAAGACUUGGCUGCAACAUUUUGAGGCCGUUCUUCUACAGCUUUGACAGCAAUUGGGUAACAAAGAGUAUCCGUAAAGGUUCAAGUUUGAUGCCUAUUAACUAUUAAGAGCAAUCUUGUGCUCAGUGUUUUAGGAAUUAUAAAUGUUGUAUGAUAUGAACAGCCUAGAGUCUUCAGAUGAAUUGGUUGUUCUUGGUUUUUCCAGCAUUUCGAACUGCAGGUCAGAGAGGUGGGAUUCGUGGGCUGCAUCCUCAGAAAGGUCCUCCUUUUGUCAGCAACAAAUUCAACGAAAGCAAACUCAGAGUUUACAUUUUAAUGCAGCAAAAAUACAAUAGAGGCUGAAUGUUGUCCAAAGAUCGCAGCAUGAAUAACUUCAAGCUCUUAGAUUUUCCAUAUAUUGGCCAUCAACAUUGCAAGUCGAUGUUGGGAUAAAUUCUACUGCUGCAAUGCGCCUUAGAUAUCUCCAGUAGUCACCGUAGGGAGAUGAACCAAUUGUGGUGCAGUUGUAGUUCAUCACUUUUCCAGAAACAGGAUCAUUGCUGUAAGCAAAUAUUACGUCAUUCUUUGUGAAGCAUUCUACUACUGCUUUUGGAGAAGAAACUACCACUACAUUACGGCUCCAAAUUUAGGAAACAUAGCAUCACCAUACUUUCAGGAAGGUUGUGCAUAAAUCUGUGCGUUGGCCUUUUCGCGAGAUGGAGAUGACCUAUAAUAGGAAGAGCUUUGGACCUGGUGGUAGAUUUUUAGGCUUUCUGAAACUGAAUUUGAGAAGAAUGAAGGAAAGGGAGAAUAAAAGAACCAAGUUGAGGUACUGAUUGGCUCCCAUUUUCUCCCAACCCUAUUAUCAUUUGUAACUUGUAAGCCCCAAUUGAUUGUAUAGAUUGAAUUCAGGAUUGAUUUUUGACACUCAUUUAUAGAUCCCUGUCUGACCACUUUACUUAUACAUGGUUCAUCGGAGAUUUACCUUCUGAACAUUAUGUCUGGUGAGUUAAUGAAAGAGUGAAAAUCUGGGAAGCUCCUAAAUUAUCACCUUGUUCACUUUUGGCCGCUGAUCUAAAUUUUGUUUCGGAUUGACCUCUGAACAAUUAAAAGUGCAUAUUUUAAGGAAUUCUGAUAAUUUUAGACGAAAGUCUAGCGGGAACCAAACGGCAUUUUGGGGCGAUUGCAACGAUUAGAGUAUUAACAGGGUAUUGUGGUAAAGGGCUACCAUUGUCUACUCAGGUUAGGAGAUAUAAAUGCCACUCACAAAACCAAACGAACUUUCAACUAUAGAUGCAGUAAUUUGUACUGGAAAGCAUCCUUUUGCAUUUAAGGACUACAAUGUUGGAAAGCAAUUUGCUGCUGCUAUCUCAGACUCCAAGUUGUGAUUUCCCAAGCAAUGCACCACUGCAACACGAAAAUGAUAGUAGUAGGCUACAGCGGCUGCAGUUAUCCCUUACAGAGUUGGGAUAACAAAUGUAUCAUGGUUUGUCGAGGUUGUAGAGGGCUUCCAGGGGCUCUUUCUUGGGCAUGGUUAGUCCUGUCCCUUCUGUCAUAUCUAUUUUCUGUUCGCCUUCCCUCUCCUAAUCAAAGCACUGGAUUAAAGCUCCCAAGGCAAGUGCUACAACCCUUCUGCCUAAAUUAGUCUCCAGACAGGCUCGUCGCCCUGCACCAAAUGGAAUCAGCUUAUAUCCUUCGUUUACCCUACCAUCAAAUCUCUCAGGCUUGAACUUUGUUGGGUCGUCCCAUAUGUUUGCUACUCUCAUGAUGCAGUAUUCAUCUUUUCAUCGUUAACAAGGCAAGUAAUAAUUAGGAGCAAGGAAGGUUUUGUAGUAAGUAUCUUACUGCACAAAGAGUAAUUAUAAAUGCCUACAUGUUAGUCACUAACAUCAGAAUUUGAGAUUAUGGUGUUAUUAUUACUGAAUAAGUGCGCUGCAACAAAUGUCAAGGAAAAACUGAAGAGGCAAACUCAAGGAAAAUGGAGAAACGUUGAUGUUAGCGAAAAACUUGACAGUGUAGUCAGCUUGCGGAGAAUAGACUCCAAAGUAGAAAUAGAAAUUAGAUAUAGGAGAACAAGCAUAAGUUUUCCCCAUUGGCAAGACAUCGUGAAGCUAAAAUUCUUACCAGUAUGACGGAUUUGAUAACUACAUCAGAAUCGUCGUAUUCAGGAUCUGUUUCUUGUAGUGAUAGCAUAACAUCUAUCAAGGUUGUCAUCCUUUCAUUGUUGCUUUUACCUGCCUGAACCAUUUCGCUCCUGAUUUUUCGGCCCUCGUCAACAAGUUUCUGGAAGAAGUUGUCCAUAUCCAAGCAUCUUGUAUCGUGUUUUCAUUGUAUGCUUCCCAAUUUAGAUUCUGACUACCGACUGCUGUCCAAAGAAUCAGCCCCGAUUCACAUUUUUGUUCAGCAUUAUUACCUCUAUCGUUGUACAUAGAGGUGGCAAUUUGUCCCAAGUCCCAAUGGGUUACCCAUGCCCAUGGGGAUUUUGGGCGGGAUGGGUAUUGGAUUUUGAUAUUGGGUUUAAAAUGGGACAAAUCCCAAUUGUACCCAUUAAUUGAUGGGAAUACUUGGGAAAUACUUGGGUACCCAUUGGGCUCAAAUAACAAGGGCUCUGUUUGGUUUAGCUAUUUUUGGGGGGUAUUUUUGAAAUAUUUUAUAUAGCAGUGUAUAUGAAAAAUUUUUACUAUAAUUUUUUUUUUAAAUAUUUGAUAUACUAAUAUGGAUGGGAUGUUUUUUGAGUUAUUGCAUAUUACUGUAACAUUGUAUUUGAAAAACUUAUUUUUUGAAAAAAUAGCCAAUCCAAACGGAGUCUUAGAUUCAAAAAUUAUCUUUAACAAUUUUUAUAGCCAUACUAGAGAAUAUAAUCUAGUAGUUUUCCUAGUCAUUAUCCAUAAGAAUUUUCAACAUUUCAGUCAAUUUAGACCUGUCAUCUUUGAACAAUGAUGAUGAUAAAUAUUCAACACCUUAAGUAUCUUGGCCAUUUUGAUAUAUGUUGGAAUAUGACUGUAUAUCUAUUUUUUCCUUUAUUUGUUAAUACAAUUUUUGAUGGGAAUCCUGAGUAUAAAGCACUUGCAUGUUUAUUUAAUAAAACUAAAAAAAUUUAAUAAAUAAAAAAUAUUAAAAUUAUAUAAAAAAGUAAAAAUGAAUUAAAGGAAAAAAAAUAUGUAGAAAAUAGAUUUGGGUAUUGGGCGGGAUCAAUCUAAACCCAUCCCAAAGUGAUCCCGCCCAAGUUAGUCCCAAAACACAUAUGGGUAAGAUUGGGCCCAAACACAUAUGACUCGGUUCCAUCACAAACCCAAGCAAAUCCCGCCCAUCCCGCCCAUUUUGCCACCUCUAGUUGUACAUAUGAAAUCUGAAUCUAUCCGACGUUUUGGAGCGAAUAUUGGUACCAAUGACUCAGUAAGGAUGGAAAACAAUUCACUGUGAGCCUGAUUUGCAAAAAUCCUGCUUUGUCAAAGGGAAACAACUCAACUUUGAGUUGAGGACUUGAGAUGCUGAUAAAUAAAAGUCACCACCAGCUAUCGACUAUAAGAAAAAGAUUGGAUUAUUUGUAUAAUAACCCAAAACAAGAAAGAAACGUGCCAUGCUGUAGACUGGGAAUCUUUGCAGCUUGAACAUAUAUGAUAUAUGAUGAAGAGGAGACAUCGGUUUUUUUUUUUCAGCAAGUUUUUCUUGCCUGCCACUCGUUGAUAAUAACUUGAUAGCUUGUACUGUCAAGAUUCACAGCAUCUAGUUGGCUUUCAAAGUUGAUAGAGAAGUCAGAUUGAUUCUUGGCGCCGAAUGCAUAGGGCCUUCAAACGGAUAGCCUUCUGCAGAGUGAUUCUGCAGAUAAUUAAAGGGAAUGUUCAAUUCACCAUCCUGUUCAACUUUAUCCCAAUCAAAAUACUGGAUGAAUGUACCCACUGUGAAGCUUUUCCUACUGCAUCUGGAGAAGAAACUACCACUACUUUUUGCAUUUGGUUCAGUUUUGUCAAAAUGGUGGUGGUAAGAAAAUUUUAUUAUAGUUCUAGAAUAAUGUGAAAAGACUGAAUAUCUUUUCUUAGAAAGAGUACACCUUCAAUUUGUCAACUUAAGAGGAUGAGAUUGGAGAACAUAUUGACACCACUAAUUUGCUUUUGUGUAGUUCUGUUAUGGCUACUUAGCGUACCAUGCAACGAAAAGGGGAGAUGUCAAAUUGCCAAAAAGCCAAUAGGGCUGGAGCACCUUGCCAAGGAUGGCUAGCCUGAAUUCCCUGUUGGUAACCAAGCAAGAAAGUACCACUGCUGCCUAGAUUCCAGAACCAUAGGAGAACCAUAGGUUUGACAGAGUCCAUCUAAAGUCUAAUGAAUGGGCUGUUUCAAACUUUGAAGAGAUCAUGUAGAUGACCUGUUAUUUGCAGAGCUAGACGGCCCAGGGUUGUCUAAUUUGGUGCCUUCUUUUCAAAUACAGGGACUUGAAUACAAAAGAAAACAUGGAAAACAAAAUAACCAAGUUGAAAAAAAGUUUUUUGACAAAAAAAAGAAAAAAAAAAAAAGUUGAAAAAAAGUUUCAUAUCCCAUUUCACCAUUUCAGUGGAACUCAAUAACACAGUUUCGAUGAUUUAUAAGCAAAACUUAUAUUCCUUAUUCGAAUAUCCUUAAUUUUAGCAUUCAUUUUCAAGGUGGCACUAAAGAAUGCUGUUGAAGUAUUGCUUGUCGAGGUCGGCAUAUAGCUUGCAAGGGCUCGACUUUUGGAAUGCUAAAGCCCCUGCCUUCAGUCAUGUCCACCAUCUCUUCACUAGUUCUCUCCCACUCAAACACCUGAACAAGUGUUCCUAAAACCAAUCCAAGCACCCUAGUUCCUAUCCCUGCACCAGGGCAUCCUCGCCGUCCGGCACCAAAAGGAAGCAUUGUAAAUCCAUCGUCUCUCCUCUCCUGGUGCCUCUCUGGUAUAAACUUAGUUGGAUCUUCCCAGAGCUUGGGGUCUCUGUGGAUGGCCCAUAAGUUCACCAGCAACAUUGUACCUUUCGAUACAUGAUAUCCAGCAACAGUACAGUUUUCAGAGGCUUCAUGAGGGAUCAGAAGGGGAACUGGUGGAUACAAACGCAGGGUCUCUUUGAUUACAUUCUGUAGAUAAGUCAAGUUUGGCAAGUCUUGCUCUUCUAAAAGCCUGUCUUCUGGAACAUGAGCAUCUAUCUCAGCUUUGAUCUUCUUGAUGGCUUCAGGUUGGUUGAGGAGCAGAGCCAUUGCCCACUCCAGGCUUAUUGACAGUGUAUCUGUUCCAGCAAUCAAUAAUACCUGUAUAAUUUGCAAGAUGAACAGAAUAUUACACAAAUUGCCAUACUUGAGGUAUAAAAUAAUUUCAGUUGACUCCCCCGAGCUAUUGAGGUAGGAAUCCUCUACACAUAAAUUGUCUAUUGUCAAAUUGGCCUGUAACUAAUACACACACACACACACACACUACAGAGUACAAACUAAUUUGAAAAACACACCCUAUGGAAGUUAUUAGAAAUAUAACUUUUUCUUUUGCAAAAGAAAAAAGUUAUGAUUUUUUUUUUACAAAAAAAAAAAAAAAAAUUGGAAGUAAAAGUUAUUAGAAGUAACUAAACUAAAGUAAUUAUCUUUAGUAUACUUUAGUGAGAGUAGAUUUGAAAAAUCAAAAGAUGACACAAAAUCAUUACUCCCUCCAUGUCAUUAAAAGUUAAUCCUAAAAAUUGUGUUUUUUAGGAUUAACUGAAAGAAAAAAACUUUUAGGAUUAACAUUUAAUCACAUGGAGGGAGUAAUCCUAAAAGUUUUGUGUUCUAAACUUUUACAUGCUCUAAACUAUUUGUCACCUUCAACACAUCAAAACAUAGUCAUUACCUUUUUACUCAUGUAUCCCUUAACUUCUUGUAAAUGACAUGAGUUGUACCAUUUAAGUAUUAAAUAUAUGAGCAACUAUCAAUAGGAACACAUUACUGAAUUCCGAUUCUCAAAAUUCAAAAGAAGACAAGAGGGAGUACAAUCCGAUUCCAACUUAAAAAACAUCAGAAACAAAAAAAAAUAUGUUAAAGCAUUAAAUGAAGAUUGCAGGAUGAAGACGUUACCAUUAUAAUUCCUUUUAUCAGCUCAUCUGAAUAAUAUUCAUGUUCAUUUUCUUGCAACGAGAGCAAAUGAUCUAUCAUGGUGGCACUUCCAUUACUACCAGCUGCUAAAAGUUGCUUACGCUCAUCCACCAUGUCCUGCAUGAACUUGUCAAGCCUUUGCAUCAAAGUUGUGAAUCUUUUUUCCAAUCCCUUAAAAUCCACCCACACUCAACAAAGGCAGAUAAUCCCCAAGAUUCGACCUUCCACUAUUCUCAAGCAUUUCCCUGAUCAAAAACCUCGCCUUUCUCGCCUCCUCGGCGUCCGCCACAUUCUCUCCAUAAUACCUCUUUCCAGCCAUAGUCAUCGAAAGAAUAUUGAAAGCAAGCUCAACAAACUUAGACUUCAAGUCCACUUUUGUUGAUCCUCCACCUUCAUUACACUUGUGCAUCAGUUCCCUUAAUAGCAGCAUCAGUUCCGUUUUUCGAGUACCUGUGAAAACAGCAAUACGAGCUGGAGAGAAAAUCUCCAAUGCUGCUAAACGGCGAAGAUUUCGCCAAUGAUCUCCAUAAGGGGCUACGCUGAUGGUGGUGUAGUUGUAACUGAAGUGUUUUGAUGAAAGGCUUCGAGGGCGGUUCGCAAAGAUGAUGUCGUUCUUGGUGAAGCAUUCUUCGACUGCUGAUGGUGAGGUGACGAUAAGGGCCUUACGGACGCCUAGCCGGAGAAGCAAGAUUUCACCAUACUUAGCCGAAAGUGAUUGUAGAGUCUGGUUGAGUGGUUCUUUCAGAAGAUGGAGGUGGCCUAUAAGAGGAAGUGAAGGUGGACUUGGGGUUGGUUUUUUGCGCAAGAUGCUAGGUUUCUUAGCAAAAUGCUGAAGAUGAAUAGAACGAAAAUUGCAAGACAUGCAGUAAGAGAAUAAGUCAACUCCAUUCUUGCCCAAUUUCCCCUUUCUUUGCCCAGGCAACAUCUCUAUGGCUAUUUGAUAAGUAUUUGGUCUCUCUCUCUCUCUCUCUCACAUACAUACAUACAUACAUACAUACAUAUAUAUAUAUAUAUACAUACAUAUAUAUAUACAUACAUAUAUAUAUAUAUAUAUAUAUAUAUAUAUAUAUAUAAUAAGAUACAACUUGCUAAGAAGUAAUGCUCCGUAAAGUUUUGCCAACAAAUGAAGACAGAUCAUUUCCCUGAAUCAAAAAGAAGAAGUUAAAAAAGAUCAAAGGCAAAAAUACAAGCAAAGACAUUGAAUGAUAUGGACCCAAAACAGCAAUAAUUAAAUAAAAAAAAAAGGAAAGAUAUGGAUCCAUUUGCACGGUUGACAUGUCUAUUAUCAAUGAAUACUGCAUGGUGCUUCCAUUCUGUUGAUUCUUUUGGGUCAACUACACUGUUAACCACAGUGUUCCUUUCGGAUUUGAAGGGCUUCAGUUGACAAUGUGGAGCACACGACAAAAUGGAUAAGAUAAAUUGUCCACAAAGAAAUGGUAGGAUGGCUGGUGGACAAGUUAGAAAAUUGUAUCCAAAAUUAUAGCAAUUUGGACAGUAGCAUGAUAGUGGUAGUGGUUGGCCCCACGUGAAUGGGCUGGUGGUUGGCGCCUCCUCCUCGGGACCGUUAGGUCCUGGGGUCGAACCUCCGCAGCAAUAUCAGUUCGCCGUGCAUUUAACGUGCUAGGUCUAGUUGGGGCGCUGGACCGGGCCGGAGUGGGGAUUAGUCGGGCCGCCUUUACGGACUUGACCCGGACACCCCACUCCGUCGACAAAAAAAACAAAAAAAAAUGAUAGUGGUAGUGGUUGGUAAUAGAAAAAUUUAAUACGGAAGUCUAAGAUUCAUAUUCAGCCCAAGACAUAAUUAACUUCUCCUUGUCUGUUAAGAAAUCACUUUUUAUGUCCUUUAGUUUAUUUAGUUAUUCGAUUUCCAUAUGAAUGUCCACUUUUCUCUCCUUGUGAGACGGAGAAGUGAUGGCUCAUGGAUCGUAGAAAGAGCCUAUAAUUCACUCACAAGUAAUCUUUACAUCAUAAUAAAACAUGCUGGAUUGCAUUUUUCUCAAUUUUUUGUAAAAAAAUUACUGUAGCGAUUUAAUAUAUGUAAGUUAAAAGGAUGAUUGAAAAAUGUGGUCACGGAAAACGUAGUAAUUUUUCUUUCCAAACAAGACAUAGCCAGUGCGUUUAGGCAUGGAAAAAGAAAUGUUCGACAAUCCGUUGAAAGUUGGACAGCUUGUUUGGAUUGUUAUUUUUUAAAUUUUUGCGGAAAAAUAUAGUGUAACAAUUUAAUGUAUGUGACAUAAAAAAGAUUAAUUGUCUCAACAAACUUAAUAUCUCUCUUGUUCAAACACUAGUUUUUUAUGAGGAAAUAAGUUUGUCACCCUAAUUCUUGCUAUGGUUAGAGUAUUAUUCAAAUGAUACUACUGCUUUAUCCUGUUUCAAGCUCGAUUUUGUCAGUUCUUUUAAAUUACUGAGCGUGUAUAAGCAGGAAAGCAAAUAAGCUUGUUUCUCAACCUGAAAACAGUUGACUGAUGAAGCAAAACAAUGUACAAAACGUACAUAGAAAAUUUUUGCUUGUUCUCAUGAAACUCUAUAUUUUAUGUUUAAUCGUUUGUUGGUUUAUCAACCUUUAGCUGCUCUUUAAAACGUGUAUAGCCCAAGGAAGAUCCUUUUUUUUUUGGGCUAACUCCACCUGCAUCAAAUUGUAUUUAGGCUUUAUUGCUUGGGUCUCCUUAAAUGAAGCGCAUGGGGACUGGAUCGACUCCACUGAUUAAUUUGGUUGUCAACCAUAGUAGUGUCUUUUUUCGGGUUUGUGCAUUGUGGAGCUUUAGAUGCUAAUUUCCAGCCCAGAACGAAAGAAAUGCAACACAAUAUUGAAUGCGAGGAAACUGCACAGUAGCCAGCAGGUGGUCGACAGUUGAGCAAAUUGUAUAUUCGUGUCAUCAAUACAAAGUUAUAGCUAUUAAGUAUUAACAAUAGCCAUGAUGACGAUGAUGAUUGAGAUGGAUGAUCUAAUAACCAAGUCCAAGGUUCAAAUUCAGUUUAGAACAUCCUGAGUGGACAAGAGGUUUCUAAAGAGAUUGAUUUACUACAGAAACUUGUUUACUGGAGUAGUAUUUUAUGAUCUAUUGGCUAAUUUAUCAGAGUAGGCAUUCCUCAUGUUUCCUAUGAAAAUACCAGGUGGUUUUUUUUAAGGGUUGGCUCUAAUCCUUACAAAGAGAAAGGGAGAAAAGACGACUGCUUGAGAAUUGAACUACACUCAAUCAAUUAAGUUGGGUCUCGGAGAAAUAAGUGCAGAUGUUGGGGAAAAGCGUGUAGAACUCAGAGUCAGCUUCUUGCAAAGACAAUAAUGAUUGGAUUAUGGUCUUGCUUUGAUCAGGUGAUGAGGCUGAACCACUUUCAGUUCUUCGAAUUUCCUCAAUCAGAUCGUGCAUGAACUCAUCAAACUUCCUCUGGUAAUUCUCCAACAUCUUCCUACACUUUUUCCCAAGGCCAAACCACCUCAUUAUAUGCACAUAUUUACAAAUGUCCGUGGGCAACUUCGCCGAAAACAUAUGAUCAGUCGACAUUGUUGGAAAUUGUAACGAAGAUUAAUGUCCAGUAGAGGACCUCCAAAUCCAAAGCCAUGCUCCAGAAGCUAAGGCAAGUGAUGUAGCCAUGUAAGUUUCACACUUCCACUUUAUCUGUCUGAUAUAGGCAGUUAACAAUGGCCAAAGAGACAGCAACAUUAGCCUGAUAUAUAUAGAUGGCAAAAGAGGAGAGAUUCCAUAGAUAUCUGCCUACCUGCCACAGAAGUAGUAUGACCUUCCACCAACGUUGGAUUUUGUACUUGUUAGCUGCACUAAGAUACUUGCAUUCCCCUAGAAACAAACACUAUAUAUAAGAUAUAAAGGGAGCAGUUGUUGUGACUUAAUAUUAUUGUAUUUUAGAUUAGGUCACAAAGUCUCGUAUAAAAAUUGGUGAAAGUAACUUGCGAUUUAAGGGGUAUGUGUACAUUUAUUACUUUUUCACAUCGUACACAAUAUUCAAGCUGUUCAACGUGAAACACACAUAACUAUUACUAGUCGUAAACACAAAUAAAGAUUUUGUACACAGAGGAUGGCUAUGUUCUCGUACAAGUCUUGGCUGAUAACAACUUGAUAGCUUGCACUACCACAAGUCAUAGCUUCUAGUUGGCUUUCAAAGUUGAGAGAGAAGUUGGAUUGAUUCCUGGCGUGGAACGCAUAGGGCCUCCAAAUGGUUAACCUUCUUCAUAGUGACUCUGUUAGUAAAGUCAGUGUCCAAUUGGCCAUCCUGUUCGACUUUAUCCCAAUCAAAGCACUGGAUGAAUGUACCAACUGCCAAUGAAACACUCCGAAUGCCUAGAUUGGCUCCGGGACAAGCUCUCCUCCCUAUCCCAAAUGGUAAAAACUUGGAAUUGAACUCUUCUUUAUCCAUUAAUACCUUCGCUUCGAAUCUUUCUGGCAUGAAUUUCUCAGGCUCCUCCCAGAGUUUUGGAUCCCUAUGCACGGCCCAGGCAUUAGCUAAAACAAUCGUACCUUUUGGAAUAUCAUACCCCCGACUCGGCAGUCUUCAGAUGCCUGAUGAGGUAGCAGAAGUGGUGCCGCGGGGUACAGUCUCAAUGUCUCAUUGACAACACAACGAAGAUAAGGAAGCUUUGGAAUAUCAGACUCAUCCAUCAGCCUUCCAUGUCCUACGCUGUUGUCAAUCUCAGUCCUCAGUUUCUGUAGUGCCUUCGGGUGAUUCAGUAAAAGCAACAUAGCCCAUUCAGUGGUCAGUGUGGAUGUUUCUCUUCCUGCUGUAAAUAUUAUCUGAAUCAAGGGUUGCUUUUGUUAGACAAAAUAAAUAUGGUUAAAAUUAGGGUGGAAAGAAUCCCAGGACGGUUGCUUAAAUGCUCUGUCCAACAGGAUCAUCCAUCUGAAAAAGCUUUACUAAGUACAAGCAAGGGAAAGGAUGAUGAAAAAUGACAACCAAUGAGCUCAAAUGCAACAAGGCUGAAGCUAUUAUCAUUUCAAAAGAUUGUUUUGGUGAAAUUAAUGGUGGUUGUUUUCAGGAAUUUUCCUAAUUAAAACUGCUACUCAAAUCUCAUCCGCUAGCAUGACAAAUAACAAAAGUAAGCAUGAAGUAUCAGAUUUUGACCUCGAUUACUACUCUUAUCUUAGUAUCAGAAUCCAAAGUUUAUUAAGCAGGACUUUUGUAAGAAGGCCAGUUGGAGGAAUACUAACCCCAUAUAAGUCUAUUUUUUCUUCAUUAUCAGAAUCAAAAUAAGACAAGGAAAGGAAGGAAUUCACAAGCUCCAUAACUUCGCUGUCACCUAUAACGGAUUCUAGCUUCUCUUUAAGAAGAAUGAUUGAUCAAGAGUUUUCUAUGAUCGGAUUAGAUCAAGUCUAUAUAAACCAUCAACCUUUACUCUAUACAAACCAUCAGAAUAAAAUUCUUUUAACACUCGUUCUAAGUCCAAAAGAGUUCUUUAACAAGAUAUUCUUCUUAAGAAUUGCUUGAUUUGUCAUUCUACCAUGACAUGUUAUUACAAGCUUGUCUGAUUCUUUAGGGAUAACUCCAAUAUAAUUAUAAGGGUAAUUUUCACCACAAUACAAUAUAUGUUGAUAUAUGUCUUUAGGAUAGUUUUGAAUAGGUAAUAUACUGACACGUAGAGGUGAUAAUUGAUAUCCGCCACUUUCUACAGUUAGCUCCCACAGGCAAAGAAUCAAUUGCUAAAGGUUCAUAUAGAGCUGUUACUGUUGCCUCACUGUAGCUUAAUGAAUUUAAUUGAAAACCAUAUUAACUUUAUAUUGCUGAAGAUAGCAAUUGAGCAAGUGAAACAAGUUCUGCAAAAUAAUGAGUUCAUAACAAGUGUAAAUGCAGAUAAAGCGGAAAAAAAUAAGUAUAUUCUGCCAGUUCAAAUUUCACUGCCUUGGCAAAGUACUGAAGUGGGAUAAGCUCAUGGAGUAAGAAAAACAGAGAGAAAUUGCAUAUUGCACUAACCAUUGCAAUACUUUAUGAUGUCAUCUGAUAGAAAAUCUGAUUCUUUUUCCUUGCGGGAAAGCAGAUUUGGAAUCACUGCCUUCUCCUCUUUGUCCAGCAGAGUAUCUGAACAUUGAAAUUCGUCUAUGAAACCCUGCAAGAAUUUAUCUCUCUUCUUGUGCAAAGAGAUCAUUUCCUUUUCCAGUCCCUUGUAGCCAAUCCAUCUUAAUAUAGGGACGAAGUCACACAAAUUCAGCGCAAUUCCUGCGCCUGAAGCAAACAUUUCGCUGAAUUCUUUAAUUAUUUGCAUCCCCAACUCCUCUCCAGCAUCCUCUUCUCUGAUACAGCGUCUUCCAACAAGCAUCCUCAUGAUAACAUUGAGCGUAAAAACAGAAAUCCAACGGUUCAAUUCAACUCUUACUUGGCUUCCAUUCUUUGAAACUCUGUAUAUUGACCUGAGAAUCAUCUUAAUUUCUUCUUCCCUGAUAACUGAAGUCCUCUGGAGGCUGUUGAAGGAGAAAGAUUCAACGACAAAGAGGCGACGAAGAUCCCUCCACAUGUGGCCAUAUGGGACUACCCCAACGGCUGUAUAGUUAUAGGAAAGCCUGUCCCCACCCAUGCUCCGAGGACGGUUUGCAAGUAUGAUAUCAUUCCUGGUGAAGCACUCUUCAAUGGCGGAUGGAGAUGACACAACAACAAAGGAACAGCAGCCGAAUUGGAGAAAGAAAAUUGGACCAUAUCUUGAUGAUAAUGAAGUCAAGUCUUGGUAGAGUGAGUUCUUGAUAAGGUAAAGAUGGCCAAUUAUUGGCAAAGCAAGUGGACUUGGUGGUAACUUCUUGUUCUUGACAUGGUUGAAUAGCAAGUUUUUGAAGAUGUGAAGUAAAGGUAAAGAACACAAUAAGAUGGUGACGAGGUAGUAGCAGAGAUUCUCCAUGGCCUAAAGCUGAAAAUCACAGGAGACUUCUUAGUUAACUUCUGCUAUUUUUGUCCCCUCUUGGAUUGAUAAUGUGCAAUUAGUCGUGUGCUAAAAAGUCAAACUGAUAACGCCAAAGUCAUUGGUUAUUGGAUAAUGCGUAAUAAUUCUUGACGCAAUUGUGGGAGGAACUUUGUCGUUUGAUGUCUAUGAGCUCACUAACUGAGAUGAACAAUUGGCAAGAAUUAUACAUUGAAAUAUAUAUCUAAUAAAGCCAGAGGAGUGGCGUUGGUGUACAUUUUUUUUUUUGCUAAUUUUUGAACUUUCUUUUAUAUCCUUAUAAAAUCUAAUUUUUACCUUAAUUACCUAAUCAUAUUUUACCUACACAAUUACUCAUAAUGGCCUUAAGUAUUUUAAGUACCAAAUUACUAUAGACUUAUUGACAGGGUGUCAAACCUGUGCAAUAAUAAAUACCUGCUUAAAUAAAAUAUAAUUUCUGUAGAUAGUGAUAAGUAGGGUCGAAUCCACAGGGACUGGGGAUAAGUUAUUUCUUUUAGAGUCCGAAGUAUGGGAGGUUUUUGAAAAUGAGAGUAACUAAAUUACUUGGAAUAAAUUAAAAUAAAAUAAAAUAAAAUAACUACAACUCAAAUAACUAAUUAUCACAAUAAAAAUAAUAAUGGACGAACUCUAGCCAAGAGACAACUUCGGAGAUGGUUCACUUAAUUCGAUCACAGAUGCAAGGAUUAUUCCAGUUACUAUCUGAUAAAUUAGUUAUAGUUGUCAUACACGCGAUAAACAACCAACUCUUCCUCAAUUUGUCGAUAGCCAAGGUACGACCGUUGACUAUUUCUCUAAUCAGGAAACAACCCUAGGUACGACCAUAAAAGUUGAAUUCCCUAAUUGCAUGAAUAAUUAGAAGAGUCUAAUUCUAACCAAUCAACACGCUACGAGGGUCUCUUUAAGUUAGCAUGUCUAUCUCCCUGACACAAACCCAAUCAUGCCAGUUGCCACCAGUUUAGAAUAAUUAAACAAUUACGGAUUUAACUACCCUAAUUGACUUUAGGUUAUUGAAUUAAUCUAGAAUCCGGGCCCUGGAUAAUCGAAUAAUAAAACAACCAAAUGAACAUAAAGCAGAAGAUAGACGAAUACCAGUGAAUAAUGGAAAUAAAUAAAAACUAAUUCGAUCUCACAAAUUUAGUAUAACCAAGUCCUCCGUUGUUCCUCGACUAGACGAAGGGAUUUAAUUCAUCUUCAUGGAGGGAAUCCCAUGCAAAAGUGCAUAAGUAAUUAUUGAAAAACAAGCUAUGUCUUCGUCUUCCCCAGCCAUGCGGCUCAUUAGCCUCCAAUAUAUAUAACUACGUGACUAGUUUCCUAACCGAAUAAGAAGAGAAAAAGAAUAAGGCAACCACCCAUUGUUCCUAAUCUAAACAAUUGCCUAACUUCUCUCGGUGGUCCCCACAAAUUAGUAACAAGGCUGCCGAAUUACUCCUUGUUUUAAGCCUCUGUACGUUUCUUUCUUCUUAAAAGCCCAACAUGACUAAUGCUUCAUACUCCAUGGUCCCCGCCGAAUUGAGUGAAAGGUUACCAGAAGUCAAACUCUGCCCAAUUCCCUUAUUGUUUCCUAUUGACCUUCGUACUCCAAUCUCCUAAUCAGCAAAGGACAUGCAAUCCCUUUUGUAGCACCAUGUGGGCCCGGUUGUUUGAAGUCUCCAUUGUCUCCCGAAAGUCCCUCCUAUUUUGUGCUUUUCUGUUCCACUCCCUGAAAUUGAGUCCAAUACCAAAUAUAAGUAAAUAUUAAUAAUUAAAACAAUAUUUGGCAAGAAUAAAUGGGGAAAUUAACAAUAAAAUAAUCAACAAUUAACACCUAUCAAUUCCCCCCACACCUAAAUCAUGCUUGCUCUCAAGCAUGAGAACAACAAUUGAACACCAAAAUUUGACCAUGGCUGUUACUCCAACUACCGUAUUGCCAAGACACCAAGAAAAUUAUAUAUCAAGCGACACAGAUCAAGAUCCAAGAAAAAUCACCCCGGUUAGCAUCUAAACUACCAACUCCUCUAAUUUAAAGCAGACUAAUCUAAGCAAAAGGAAUGGUUGCUCACAUUUAUCAGCAAAUGGUCCAACUAUUAACCAAAAUCUUGACAUUAAGAUCACAAACCGGCAAGCUGACUUAUUCACAUACUAACACAAUCUUUUUUUUUCUUUUUUUUUUUUUGAAUAACAAAAGACUUAGUCUAUAGCCCUUAGAGUCUUUUGACGCGAACUCCAACAUUUGCCAGAUGGAGGAGCCCGGUUACUCAGCUCCAAUUGUUACGGGACCACGCACUCAUAGCAACUACUACCUUUUGACUCGAAAAUCAGCACUUUAGGUAAAGAUCCCCGGUUACUCAGUAGUAACCACUAGUGGAGUACAGUCAACUCUUAUUUGCAACCAUAUAACACAAUAUCUAAAAGCAACACAAGAAUAACAGCAGCCAGCCUCAAAUUUUCAGACAUGGAGAACUAAAAUUAAUAACUGGACCAAUUCACAUGAAAAAUGCCAACAAUCAUUCCCUAUGUCUAGAAAAGUUUACCAAAAAUUAGAAAAGUCAAGCAAUUACUGAUAUUCACCAAAGAGAUGUUCCUGAACUCAACCACAUCAACUUGAUGCGCUUUUAUUAAUAAAAUUUGGCAAUAUCAGAAUUAGAGACAACAGUCCAACAUCAAAACUUGGUAUUCAAAUAAGCGCUGACCACUAAUAAAAGAAAAUAAAAUAAAAUAAAUAAACGAAAAUAGAACAAAUAACAAAAAUAGAGGAAAACAUGUAAAAACUAAAAAUUAGAAAUACUAGCUGUACCACAGCUGUCCCCCCCACACCUAAGUCCGACAUUGCCCUCAAUAUAGCAAUUAAAGCGAAGAGGAAAACGAAACUUCCCUCUUGAGAGCAGCUACGGGAUAGGUGGGAACGGGGGAGUGAAACAGAUAUGGUGGAAGUACGCGGCCAGGGUCUUAGACAUUGGAGCCAUCUGGCUGGCGAUAUGCGUUACUUGCUCAUCCGCGUGGUGAACCUGAUCUCGCAAGUGGCGCCACUUAGCAUCAGAGGCCAUCGGUGGAGAGGCCACUUAGCAAAUUCAAAACAAUAACAAUUUAAUAGCCACUGGUGCCUUCCUCGUAGACAACCCGAUCAGCAAAAUGCACAACCCAGGCACCUAGAGACUAUAUAAAUAUCCCAACAAUACAGCAAUUUCAAUCAAUACUCACUGGUGGCCCCAAUUGGGUCAAAUGCAGGAACAAUGUAAUCCAAAAUCGCAACAAAUACUCUAAAGAUUUAGCAAUUGAAAUCAAUAGGUAAAAUACUCCCAGCACGUCAAUUAGACGCCACCAACAGCAAUAAGCAAUGGAAGUGGCACAGUAGCCUUCCAAUUCAACAAACAAAUGAAGAAAAUACCCAACCAAAGGCACUUCAAGGGACGCAAGACAGAAAUCAGCAAAGUAGAACUCAAGUGAUACCAAAAAUAACCUCAACAAAGCAGUGAAUUCAACCAAUUUGAAUACGUAGAAACGGUCAGAAAUGCCUCCCAAAGAUCAACAGAGAGCGGCAAAACUUGCCCACCCAAAAUCUGUCCAAAUAGCUCCAAUUGGACAAGAAAUUGUACAACUCAACCAACCGAAAUUAGCAAAUGAGCCAAGAAACCGUCAAAACCAGCAAUAGUGUGUUCAAAAUUUGGACUACAACUAAAUCAAAAUGUUUGGCAGUUUUCAAUCAAGUAGCCCACCAACUAUAACCAAGUAUCAACAAAUGUAGUUAUAAUACCCCAACCAGUACCACUGAUGCAUUCCACAGAUAAUGAAGCAACAUAAACGGCCACCCCAAGCAAGAAAAUGUAAUUCUAGGCACCUAGUGUCUAGACAAAUGCCUCAACAAAGCAGCAAUUACAACCAAUAAGCAAUGGUGAUCCGAAUGUUAGUCUCAUGCAAAAAUGAUGUAACCCAAAAUUGCAGCAAUGGCUCCUAGAAAUCAAUAAUUCGAAGUGACAGCACAAAGGCAACUCACAAUGGCCACAGACUGUCUCAAGUAGAAAUUGAACCACAGAGUCCUCAAGUGAGCCCAAGAACGGACUCUAAGAAUGCGAGAGAGUAAAGUACAACUCGGAAACAGAGGGACACAGAGAUACCUGCCCACUGCCCAACGGCGUCGUUGGUGCAGUGGGGAACGGUAGUGACAACGGCCGUGGCCUGUGGGAGAGAAACGCGCGGCGGUUGGCGGCAAGCUGGAGCAGGAGAGCUGGCUAGAGGGAGGUACGGUUGUGGCUGUGGCUGUGGCUCGCGGCGCUGGGUAGCUCGCGGCUGGUGGCGUUGGAAGGAGAGAGAUCGAGCGGCGGAGAGGAGCUGGUGGCCAGUGGAGGUCCAUGGUGGAGGGAAAAGCGGACAGCAUUGAGGCAGCUUGUGGCACUCGAAGGCAGCGCACGAGGAAGAGGAGUGAGGUGGCGUUCGGUGAUGGAAGGUCGGCGCGCGGCAGCGCGCAAUGGCAGCGCUGGGCGCGGAGAGAGAGAGAAGAUGAUGGAGAAAGAGAGGGUGGCGGUGGCGUGGGCAGGCGGCGUGCUCUGGUAGUGGGUGGCGCGAGGUGGAGCUGGUGGCAUGCGGCUGUCGCGAUGGGAAGAGAGAGGGCGCGGCGAGUUGGAGGUGAGCGAGGGAGGCGGCGACGCGCGAUGGAGGAGCGUCGGCCGAAGAAGAAAAGAAGGAAAAAGAAAAAGCCAGGCAGCGGGGAAGAAGAAGAAGAAAAGGGAAAGAAAGGAAAGAAAGAAAAAAAAAAAAGGAAGAAAGAAAAAAAAAAGAAAAGAAAAGAUGAAGAUUUUUUUUUGGUUCNNNNNNNNNNNNNNNNNNNNNNNNNNNNNNNNNNNNNNNNNNNNNNNNNNNNNNNNNNNNNNNNNNNNNNNNNNNNNNNNNNNNNNNNNNNNNNNNNNNNNNNNNNNNNNNNNNNNNNNNNNNNNNNNNNNNNNNNNNNNNNNNNNNNNNNNNNNNNNNNNNNNNNNNNNNNNNNNNNNNNNNNNNNNNNNNNNNNNNNNNNNNNNNNNNNNNNNNNNNNNNNNNNNNNNNNNNNNNNNNNNNNNNNNNNNNNNNNNNNNNNNNNNNNNNNNNNNNNNNNNNNNNNNNNNNNNNNNNNNNNNNNNNNNNNNNNNNNNNNNNNNNNNNNNNNNNNNNNNNNNNNNNNNNNNNNNNNNNNNNNNNNNNNNNNNNNNNNNNNNNNNNNNNNNNNNNNNNNNNNNNNNNNNNNNNNNNNNNNNNNNNNNNNNNNNNNNNNNNNNNNNNNNNNNNNNNNNNNNNNNNNNNNNNNNNNNNNNNNNNNNNNNNNNNNNNNNNNNNNNNNNNNNNNNNNNNNNNNNNNNNNNNNNNNNNNNNNNNNNNNNNNNNNNNNNNNNNNNNNNNNNNNNNNNNNNNNNNNNNNNNNNNNNNNNNNNNNNNNNNNNNNNNNNNNNNNNNNNNNNNNNNNNNNNNNNNNNNNNNNNNNNNNNNNNNNNNNNNNNNNNNNNNNNNNNNNNNNNNNNNNNNNNNNNNNNNNNNNNNNNNNNNNNNNNNNNNNNNNNNNNNNNNNNNNNNNNNNNNNNNNNNNNNNNNNNNNNNNNNNNNNNNNNNNNNNNNNNNNNNNNNNNNNNNNNNNNNNNNNNNNNNNNNNNNNNNNNNNNNNNNNNNNNNNNNNNNNNNNNNNNNNNNNNNNNNNNNNNNNNNNNNNNNNNNNNNNNNNNNNNNNNNNNNNNNNNNNNNNNNNNNNNNNNNNNNNNNNNNNNNNNNNNNNNNNNNNNNNNNNNNNNNNNNNNNNNNNNNNNNNNNNNNNNNNNNNNNNNNNNNNNNNNNNNNNNNNNNNNNNGCUAUUAUAAGAACUCCUUUCAUGCAAAAACAUGCAACCUACGAAGGAAACUUGUUUCUGCAAUAUAUUUCUUUCCUAUGCUAUUCGGCUUCAGCAAAACAACCAAAACUACUCACGUUGUGUAAUCUUCUUGUGAGUUUCUCAACAAAAAAAAAAAAAAAAAAUUCAUCAUUCAUCAAUGUUUCACUCCAUGCAUCGACUUAUCUUCCAUCAGAUUCACAAGUUCCAAACGGACACGAAAAUAAAAAUGCAGCAAAGAUGCUAGGGAACAGACUUGCAGCGAACAUACACAUAGUGUCUCAAAUGGAACAACAAACCAAUCCCAUACUUACGACCUUAGCAACUACAAACGGGAUGGCUAUUGUUGCAACAAAGCCCAGGGAAUUCUAUCCCUGUUGCCGCAACUCAAAGCACCAAGACAACUAAGCAUAAAAUUUGGAAGAGGCACUACAACCUUAUUAAUUUUUCCUCAAUGAUAACAGGUCAUCAAAACAGGUUUUCUACAUAUUACUGCUAUCAUAUCAUGACAUAGGGAGGAACCCAGAUGUCUUUGGUAUAUAAAAAUCCUCCAAACACACACUAAACCCUCGGAAUACAGAUUUUCCAUCAACAAGGGUGUCAAAAAAAAUGAAGAAUCUUAACACCUCCUUAGGACCUUUUUGAGAAAAAAUAGAUGUAAUAACAUCAAUAAAAGUAGACUGCAAUAGAUCCCUAUUAAAAUCAAGUUUGAUCAAUUCGCUACUGUGAGUCAAGUAUCUUUCUCCACUACACUCAAAGGAAGCAGGUAAUAACAGCAAAAGCAAGAGACAAAGUGCAGCAAACAUCCUUUCGGCAAUUUCUGGUUCCAAAUGCAGAUUUCAGGAGCUCUUUGAUCACAACUUCCCAUCUAAUCUCCAAAGAAACUUGAACUAAGCAACGAAACACAUAUCUUUCACAUCCAACCAACACCACUUAUAAGGAAAUCAUGCAAGUUCUAUGCAGGUCUACAGAGGUAUAAGUCUGCAAUUUUUAUUGGCGGUUUCGGUUCUGUGAAUGCCGAAUGCCAAUUUUCAUCCCAAACAUAAACUAGUUAGCUUCAACCAACUCAAAUGUGGAUCAAAACAGCGAUGCAACCAUUCAUUCCUUCCAUUUUUAAUACCCAACUCUCAUGUUUUAAUGCAAUGACAGAAGUAAAGAGUAUGCAGCAAAUCUGGAAAAUGUUUUGUGACUUUCAUGCUCUGAAACUUCGGCAACAUCAUGUUGCCAGUUCUAAAAAUCAUCUCAACCAGAAUCCAGCUAAAACUUAUCAUUAAUGUAGUAUACUAAGCAUGCAAAGGAAAAGAGUUGGUCGACACUUCUGCAAACAAACAAAUUGAGACUAUACAACUCAAACAGAAACAACCACAUUUUACAACCAAAAAAUGCAUUCCUCGCAGACCCAGCGAUGAACUUCAGUGGAGACUUGCAAAUCCAUUAGGCAACACACUAAACCAAUACUCUAACAUGAUUACCAAGAACAAAUAGCAAACAACCAUCAAGAGUGUCAAAAUAGUCAUGAUUUCGGCAAUUCUGCAACCUAUUGCUGCAAAGUUGCAGCUUUAAACUCUUUACACAACCGAGAGGUAUUCAUGCAUAGCAAUUCGAGAAAAUCAUGAUAGAUUCGACACUCAACCAAAUGCAAAAACUUGGGAUAAGGGGAAAGGACUAUCCAGCAAACUUUCGGGCAUCAAAUGCAAUUACUACCUUAAACAUGUAAGAUGAUCUUCAUAAAGCAAGAUUUAAGUGUUGGAUUAACAUCUAUUUGAUUAGAUGAUGAAGUCAGAAAUUUCGGUCAUUAGAUGCCUCAAGACAACCGUGGAUAGCAGCCCUCUUUCCUAGCAUAAUUCUCACAAAGAAAAUUCUGAUAACAAACUACAAUUCCAACUCUGCUCUCUCGGCCAUCACACAGUUUUUUUUUCAACUUUUAGUCAGUCCUAAACAGAAUUUUCCUUCGGUUAAAACCUUGUAUUUGGCACUUAAAUCUCACAUGCACAACUACUGAACUGAUUAGCUAGCAUUUCCAGUCCAAAUUCAGUUCGGUUAUUACCAAGAAUUCGUCAAUCAACCAGCAAUUUGUUCAGCUUCCCUCGGAUGAGCUUGCAUGCAAGCCGAUUUUGUUUCAUCUCUUCUUUCUAGCUUAAUCUGAGCUAACUAACUUCAUGCAAGACUUAACCAUCCAGUUCUUAGUUAGUUAAUAACAUUUAAAAGCUCAGAUUACUCCAAGAAACAAGAUAUAACGCUGCAUUAUCAAAUCAGUUCUCGGCCAACUCAUUUCUUUGCAAAACAGAUUUUCUCAGGUGGUAAUUUCAUCAUCAGUCGCACCAUCCAACAUGCAGACUCUUAAUCUCUAUCAUCUACCAUUAAUUAGCUUAAAUUUGGCUCAGAAAUUACCUCUGUAACAACUCAGCUCACGCACAAAAAAAAUCUGAAAUUUUUCUUCCUUCCUCUCGGCUUCACGCACCAGUUCGGUUCGCGGGUUGGUGUUGCAGCUGCGGUUGUUGAAGUGGGUGGAUGAUCGCAGUUGGUUGAGGGUGAAGGGUGCAGAAAUGGGAGGAACUCACGCAGUGUCUUCCUUUCCGUUGCUCUAGCUCACGGUCUGGACAGAAGGGAGAAGAAGAAAAAUUGCAGCUCGCUGUUUUCUUUCCUCUCGCGGUGCUUACCAGGUAAGUCUCCCUCUCUCUUUUGGUCUUGGUCGAAGCUAAAAAAAUGUGGAGUGGAACUGGAAUGUUCUUUGUGGUUUAGGCUGAGGUAGUGGAGUGGAGCUGGAAUGUUCUUUUUGGUUUUUCAGGCUGAGGUAGUGGAGUGGAGUCGGUAGUUUAUAAGAUGUAGUGCUGCAGUGGAGAAAUGGAUCCGGCAGAAAAUGGAAUUGUGAUCCUUUUUUUUUUUUUUUUCUUUUUCUCUACUUAAUAAUUUAACAAAAAUAAUAGUAAAACUAAAUAAUAAUAGAAACAACAAUUUUAAUUACAAACACAUCAAAAUCAAUCAAACUAGAAAUAACAAAAUUACCAUUUUCGAUCUUUUCUUUCAUUUUCAUAAUUUUUCAUCAUUUUUUCCUUCUUUUCUUUUUCAAAAUAAAUUAACAAAAAUAAACCAAAAUGCCAAAAAAAUUAAAUUUGAAUGUAUUUUUGUGAACAAUUUUCCUUUUUCUCCUUUUUUUUUCAUGAUUUUUCUACGCUAAAACUUAAAAAAAAUAAAAAUAGAAACUAGAAACUAAAAAAAAACUAAAAGUAACCACGACAAAUGAGAAUAAAAAGUAAAAGAAAUUACACCAAAAAUUUGGUGUCUACAGUUUGCCCCUCUUUGUCUGAGUUUUGGAAAAACUUGAGACAAAGAAAUAGACACCAAAUACUUACCUGCUUUAUUCGGUGGCAAACGUCACGAACGGUGGACGUUUUAGAAAUAAGGACUGACCCUUUUGGCAAAACUUUUAAAAUGGAAUUGACUUAGACAGGAGAUUUAAAGUGGGAUUGACCCGAACGGAAUUUAAAGACGGGACUGGCCCAAACAGGAACUUAAAGCGGGACUGACCCGAACAAGAAUUUAAAACGGGACUGGCCCGAACAGGAAUUUUAAAACGGGACUGACCCGAACAGGAAUUUAAAACGGGACUGGCCCGAACAGGAAUUUAAAACGGGACUGACCCGAACAAGGAUUUAAAACGGGACUGACCCGAAAAAGAUUUAAAACGGGACUGGCCCGAACAAGAAUUUAAAACGGGACUGACCCGAACAGGAAUUUAAAACGGGACUGACCCGAACAAGAUUUAAAACGGGACUGGCCCGAACAAGAAUUUAAAACGGGACUGACCCGAACAGGAAUUUAAAACGGGACUGGCCCGAACAAGAAUUUAAAACGGGACUGGCCCGACAAGAAUUUAAAACGGGACUGACCCGAACAGGAAUUUAAAACGGGACUGACCCGAACAAGAUUUAAAACGGGACUGCCCGAACAAGAAUUUAAAACGGGACUGACCCGAACAGGAAUUUAAAACGGGACUGACCCGAACAAAGAUUUAAAACGGGACUGCCCGAACAGGAAUUUAAAACGGGACUGACCCGAACAGAAUUUAAAACGGGACUGACCCGAACAGGAAUUUAAAACGGGACUGGCCCGAACAGGAAUUUAAAACGGGACUGGCCCGAACAAGAAUUUAAAACGGGACUGACCCGAACAGGAAUUUAAAACGGGACUGGCCCGAACAAGAAUUUAAAACGGGACGACUGCCCGAACAAGGAAUUUAAAACGGGACUGACCCGAACAGGAAUUUAAAACGGGACUGGCCCGAACAAGAAUUUAAAACGGGACUGGCCCGAACAAGAAUUUAAAACGGGACUGACCCGAACAGGAAUUUAAAACGGGACUGCCCGAACAAGAAUUUAAAACGGGACUGCACUGGGGAAAUUUAAACAAUGAAUUGAGUUUUUUUUUUUUUUUUUUUUUUUUUUACCUGAGAAUAGUUCAACUUUUGUACCAAGAGGGAAAUUUGGAUUUCUGUGACCGAAACGAUAGCUGAUGCUGUUUCUUAUGAUCGAGUCUUGCAAAUAACAUCGAUCCUUGUUUACUGGGAAGCUUUGUCUGACAUCGGUUUAGGUGCCAAAAAGAGAGUGGCUGCUUUUGUUUGUAAAUGCCACAUUCCUGCAAGAAAAGAAGAAAUAAUGGGCUUGCCACCAUUAUUUGAUCCGGUUUGCCUUGAGAAUCGUGUAAACAUGAGUCUUGUGAUGCUUUUAUUUCGGCUUGGCGGCGUCUGCCUUAAACCUUUUAAUUUCUGAGACUGAUAAAAUGCAGAUUUACCACGUCACCCAAUCCAGGUGGUAGCUUUGUUGCAUGUUACUCACUGUAGCUGAUGAUUGAAUCCCUUAUCUUUGCCCAAACCUUAGGGUUUAUCAUUUAUUUGAAUUUAAUGGUGAAAGAAUGAUGCGUAAAAAUUUAUCACAUAACAAUCAAUGUAUAUGCAAGAUUAUUUCCUAUGUCAGGCAAAGAUAAACAUGCAGAAAAAUGCAGACAACCAUAGAUAGUAGAAGGCAAAUGAAUUAAAGAAACCAGGAGAUUUACAUUUUGUAAAAUGGUGUUUAUACAGAAAAUACAAGUUUAGCCAAUGAAUAUCAUAUUCAAGACUUCGGAUAUUUUUCGCUUCGGAAUCCGAUACUAGCAGAAGUUUCACAAAUAUGAGGAAAACCCUCAAUGAACCGGGUCACCAGCUGUUCCUUCUCGAGCUUGACCGUUGUGAAAACCUACCUUGGCGCCCUUUCGGGUUUUCACCAAGGUUGCCCCCACCCUUUUAUUUUUGCUUUUGUUGUUUUUCUUUUCUCUUUUCCUUUCCUUUUUUUCUCUUCUUUUUUUUCUUCUUUUUCUUUUUUUUUCUUUUUUUCUUUUUUUCUUCUUUCUUCUUUUUUUUUUUCUUCUUUUUUUUUCCUCUUUCGCUUUUCUUUUUCUUUCGAGGUGCCCUUUCGGGUUUUCACCUAAAGAAGACUGAAAUGUCUCGACCAUGAUCGACUCAGAAACAUGAAUUAAAGAUUUCUGGCAUCAGUAAAAUGUACUUCCCUUGUAAAAUUAGGCGAAGACAUUACGGACAUCACCUGCCAGUUGAUUAACAAAUUUUCUAAUAGAAAUGCAGCAAGUGAUGAAAGCCAGGACUUUGGGCUUUUGUAAUGAGGUCAGGUGGGGUGUUUUUCAAGAAAAGUUAAGGCUUGAAAGCAGAUUUGAUACGAGGGGUGAAAUAACUUAAAAUUGCACUCUUCUGAAAAUAACUCCAAAACUGAGGAAAAUUUUGCCCCAGUUUGAUCAGAUUUUCCCUCUUUGCAUUUUUCAUUGUAUUUUCCUCACUUUUUGCAUUUUUCUUUGAAAACUAAAUUUGCCCCAGUGUAGGGUUUUUUUUUUUUUUUUUUUUUUUUUCGAUUUCGAAACAAAUUUGCCCCAGUGUGGGGUUUGCAAUUCUCAAGGGUUAUCAAACGAAAUUUGUCAAUUCUGAUGGCUCAAAGGGGACAAGUAGAGAUAAAAUUUUUUUAGUGUAAAAGAAGAUGGCCUGACUUGCAUUUCGCCAUUUGCAUGAAUUUCUAAAGAAAAUUUGCAUGAUCAAAUGAAAAACUUUUUGCACAUAUCUGAGUUGAUGGGUUGAGGGAAAACCCGUCCAUCCAUUUCCGCCAAAAUGAGAGCUCCGCCAGGUAAUACCUUUUGGACAACGAACGGCCCUUGCCAAUUUGGAGCGAACUUGCCUUUAGCUUCAUCUUGCAUUGACAAAAUUCGCUUUAGUACCUUAUCACCUUCUUCAAAUGCCCGCCGAUGGACUUUUUUGUUAUAAGCUCGGGCCACACGUUUUUGAUAGCAUUGCCCAUGACAGAUAGCAUUGAAUCGCUUCUCAUCUAUCAAAGUCAAUUGCUCAUGGCGCUGCUUGAUCCAAUCGGCCCCUCCAAUUUAGCUUCCAUAAGGAUUCGUAGCGACGGAAUUUCAACCUCAGCUGGUAAUACAGCUUCCAUCCCAUACAUAAGUGAAUAUGGCGUUGCCCCAGUCGAUGUCCGAUAGAAGUCCGGUACGCCAUCAAUGCAUAAGGCAACUUUUCAUGCCAAUCGCGAUGCUUUUCUGUCAUUUUGCGGAUAAUUUUCUUCAAUUCUUAUUUGCGGCUUCUACAGCUCCAUUCAUCUGAGGCCUAUAAAUGGCAGAAUUGCGGUGUUUGAUUUUGAACUGCUCACAUAGUCCAUCUACCAUGUCAUUGUUCAGAUUCUUGGCAUUGUCCGUGAUAAGCGUUUCGGGUACUCCAAAGCGACAGAUGAUGUGAUCUCUCAGGAAAUUGGCCACUACCUUCUUCGUGACAUGUUUGAAUGACUCGCUUCAACCCAUUUGGUAAAGUACUCGAUCGCCACCAAUAUAAAUCGAUGUCCAUUUGAAGCGGGAGGAUCGAUUGUACCAAUCACGUCCAUACCCCACAUUGAACAGGGCCAUGGGGCGGUCAUGCUAUGCAGUUCAGUGGGUGGAGCGCGUAUAAUGUCACCGUGCAUUUGGCAUUUUAUACAUCUCCGGACAAAAUCUAUACAAUCAUGCUCCAUAGUAAGCCAGAAGUAUCCGGUUCUCAUGAUUUUCUUCGCUAGCAAAUGGCCAUUCAUGUGAGGUCCACAAACGCCACUAUGCACUUCUUUCAUCAUAUAUUGAGCUUCAUCUUCAUCAAUGCACCUUAAAAGGUUCAAAUCGAGGUUCUUUUGUACAACACUUCUCCAUUUAAGAAAAAUUUUGAAGCCAUUCUACGCAGAAAACUCUUGUCUUUGUACCAGCAUGCAGAGGGUAAGACCCAGUUUUGAGAAACUCUUAAGAUCAUUAAACCAAGGAAUAGUAUCGAGGACUCGUCUGUAACCCAGCAGUGGGCAGGCUUGUCUUGAAGUUGAACUGGAUUGGUUCGAUCUUCAAUUCAUCAGGAUACUGGAUCAUAGAAGCUAAGGUGGCCAAAGCAUCGGCAAAUGCAUUCUGGCUCUCGGGAGAUGUCUGAACUCCAAAUUUUGAAAUUGCUUGGCCAAGUGAGCAGACUACAAUGGUAGGGUAGAAUUUUCGAAUCUUUGGUUAUCCACUGUUUCAAGGUUUGAUGCACGAGCAAAUCUGAAUCACUGAAAACUAUCAAUUCUUUGAUUUCCAUUUCCAAGCCAUUUUGAGACCAAAAAUGCAAGCUUCAUAUUCAGCCAUGUUAUUCGUGCAAGCGAAUUGCAAUUUGGCAGCGGCAGGGUAAUGCUUCCCUUCGGGUGACACCAAAACAGCUCCAAUUCCAGCUCCGAGAGAAUUCGAAGCUCCAUCGAAGAAAAGCCUCCAUUCAGGACUUUGUUCACUUAUAUCAUCUGCAGCGCCUACAAAUAGGACCCUCUCGUCAGGGAAAUAAGUACGGAGUGGUUGAUAAUCAUCAUCCCUUGGAUUUUCCGCCAAAUGAUCAGCUAUAGCUUGCCCCUUGACCGCCUUUUGUGAGGUGAAAACAAUAUCGAAUUCUGAGAGAAUUAUCUGCCAUUUCGCCAAACGCCCAGUCAACAUCGGCUUCUCCAAAAGAUACUUCAAAGGAUCAGACGGGAAAUAAGAUAAGUGGUAUGGCUCAACAGUAGUGUCUCAACUUUUGGGCUGCCCAGGCCAAUGCACAGCAGCUUUUCUCAAUGAAUGAAUAAUUAGCCUCGUACUGCGUGAACUUCUUGCUUAGAUAGUAAAUGGCUUGUUCUUUCCUUCCGGAUUCAUCGUGCUGACCUAGAACACACCCUACUGCUCCAUCGAGUACAGAUAAAUACAUAAUCAAAGGUCGGCCCGGUUUGGGCGGCACUAAAACUGGUGGAUGCAACAAAUAAUCUUUAAUCUUGUCAAAAGCCUGUUGACACUCCUCAUUCCAAUACAACGGCACAUUCUUUCUCAAUAAUUUGAACAACGGCUCGCAUGUGGCAGUUUUGGCCGAUGAACCUCCCAAUGAAAUUGAUCUUCCCUAAGAAGCUUUUCACGUCCUUCUGAGUUUUCGGCACUGGCAUAUCUCGAAUUGCUUUGAUUUUCGCCGGAUCUAUUUCUAUGCCCUUCUUGCUAACAAUGAAUCCCAACAGCUUACCCGCAGGUGCUCCGAAGGCGCAUUUUGCAGGAUUUAGCUUCAAAUUGUACUUCCGUAAUCUCUCGAAUAAUUUCUUCAGAUCAACCAAGUGGUCCUCUGCCCUUUUAGACUUGAUUAUAAUAUCAUCCACGUAGACCUCCAUCUCCCGGUGGAUCAUAUCAUGAAAUAGGGUUGUCAUGGUCCUCUGAUAUGUUGCUCCAGCAUUCUUUAAACCGAAAGGCAUGACUCGGUAGCAAAAGGUACCCCAAGGGGUAAUGAAAGCAGUCUUCUCCCUAUCCUCCUCUGCCAUUAAAAUUUGGUGGUAGCCAGCAAAACAAUCGCAAAAGGUUUCAAUCUCAUGUCCGGCCGUAUUGUCUAAGAGAAUGUGAAUGUUUGGUAGAGGGAAAUCAUCUUUAGGACUGGCUUUAUUAAGGUCUCUAUAGUCAAUACAAACUCUUACCUCUCCACUCUUUUUUGGAACAGGGACAGGAUUUGAAAGCCAAAUUGGGUAAUGGGAAACAAUGAUAAUGUUGGUUUUGAGUUGUUUUUCAAUCUGCUCUUUUAUUUUGAGACUUAUAUCUGGUUUGAAUUUUCUGGGUUUUUGUUUUACGGGUGGAAAAGAAGGGUCUGUGGGUAACCUAUGCACCACCACAUCAGUUGAAAUGCCAGUCAUAUCAUCAUAGGACCACGCAAAUACAUCCUGGAACAUGGUCAAGAAUUCAAACAACUCCUUUUUCUGCCUUUCAUUCAAAUGAAUACUAAUUUGCACCUCCUUAACCUCAUCCUCNNNNNNNNNNNNNNNNNNNNNNNNNNNNNNNNNNNNNNNNNNNNNNNNNNNNNNNNNNNNNNNNNNNNNNNNNNNNNNNNNNNNNNNNNNNNNNNNNNNNNNNNNNNNNNNNNNNNNNNNNNNNNNNNNNNNNNNNNNNNNNNNNNNNNNNNNNNNNNNNNNNNNNNNNNNNNNNNNNNNNNNNNNNNNNNNNNNNNNNNNNNNNNNNNNNNNNNNNNNNNNNNNNNNNNNNNNNNNNNNNNNNNNNNNNNNNNNNNNNNNNNNNNNNNNNNNNNNNNNNNNNNNNNNNNNNNNNNNNNNNNNNNNNNNNNNNNNNNNNNNNNNNNNNNNNNNNNNNNNNNNNNNNNNNNNNNNNNNNNNNNNNNNNNNNNNNNNNNNNNNNNNNNNNNNNNNNNNNNNNNNNNNNNNNNNNNNNNNNNNNNNNNNNNNNNNNNNNNNNNNNNNNNNNNNNNNNNNNNNNNNNNNNNNNNNNNNNNNNNNNNNNNNNNNNNNNNNNNNNNNNNNNNNNNNNNNNNNNNNNNNNNNNNNNNNNNNNNNNNNNNNNNNNNNNNNNNNNNNNNNNNNNNNNNNNNNNNNNNNNNNNNNNNNNNNNNNNNNNNNNNNNNNNNNNNNNNNNNNNNNNNNNNNNNNNNNNNNNNNNNNNNNNNNNNNNNNNNNNNNNNNNNNNNNNNNNNNNNNNNNNNNNNNNNNNNNNNNNNNNNNNNNNNNNNNNNNNNNNNNNNNNNNNNNNNNNNNNNNNNNNNNNNNNNNNNNNNNNNNNNNNNNNNNNNNNNNNNNNNNNNNNNNNNNNNNNNNNNNNNNNNNNNNNNNNNNNNNNNNNNNNNNNNNNNNNNNNNNNNNNNNNNNNNNNNNNNNNNNNNNNNNNNNNNNNNNNNNNNNNNNNNNNNNNNNNNNNNNNNNNNNNNNNNNNNNNNNNNNNNNNNNNNNNNNNNNNNNNNNNNNNNNNNNNNNNNNNNNNNNNNNNNNNNNNNNNNNNNNNNNNNNNNNNNNNNNNNNNNNNAUCAUAAUGCAUCUGGGGAACCUCAAAUUGCAGUGCUCUAAAUAACGUUUGAAACUGGGCAAAAGGCAGAAAUGCAGGAAGAACAAAAAUAGUGCUGACUAGUUGAGGCAUGAUACAGCCCCGGGCAGAUCGACUGGUUUCCGUAGUCCCCUCUUUAGGGGCAGCUCAUUGGUUCGACCCCGAGAGAGCUAACGCGCUGUGAACCUUGGGCGGGGCUCUGACAGCCGCAGGAAAUUAGUCGGGCCCAAUGGUUCCGGACACCCCUGUGUCGACAAAAAAAAAAAAAAAAAAGUUGAGGCAUGAUACAUAAAUAUGCAAAUGCAGUAUUAACAAUUGAAGUUGCUUCUUGAUGAAACAUGAAAGAAAAAAUGAAGGAAAAAUGAGCCAUUUUUCAUUUAGUUUACGAUAUUUGAAAGCAUGACUCGUUCCUGCAGUUCUCAUUACGAACCAAAAACUAAGAAAGACAUGACAGUAAUCCAAAGUCAAAUCCUCCAAUAAGCUGGAUGAGUUGAAAAAAACGUAAUGAUGAUUUGCAUCCAUUGUACCAUUUCUUUGACGCGUGCUGGGACUCAUUGAGCUGUACUUUCAAGUAAACAUGCAUUUAUAAUUGUGGGUUAAAAAUAAAAGCACUAUCCUCUCAAUAAAUUAUUCGGUAGUUAUGAAUUAUGUGUUGCAAUUCUAAAUAAUGCUCCUAGACAUUUUGAGUUUAGCUGUUUUUACACUUUAUGCAAGUCAACCAACAAGAAUAUUAAAUUAUUCUUUACACCAUCUAGGGCUGACUUGGAACUUGAAAUGGUCCCCUUUUGCCUACUCGUUUAGGUCAUACUAAUAAACUUAUCUUUUCUAUUUUCUGUUCCAUUAUUUCUUGCCUACUUCUCCAAACAUGCAUCUUAUUUUAGCUUAAACAUCGAGUCAGUUUCUUUUAUAUUGAAUCUUGAUCUUGUAGAAUAAAGAUAUCACAUACUACAUGAAGUUUGGAAGACUUUUUGACGCCCAAAGUCCUAUAAUUACGUUUCAGAAGAACUGGGAUAAGCUUAACUAAAUCAUAAUGCAUCUGGGGAACCUCAAAUUGCAGUGCUCUAAAUAACGUUUGAAACUGGGCAAAAGGCAGAAAUGCAGGAAGAACAAAAAUAGUGCUGACUAGUUGAGGCAUGAUACAGCCCCCGGGCAGAUCGACUGGUUUCCGUAGUCCCCUCUUUAGGGGCAGCUCAUUGGUUCGACCCCCGAGAGAGCUAACGCGCUGUGAACCUUGGGGCGGGGCUCUGACAGCCGCAGGAAAUUAGUCGGGCCCAAUGGUUCCGGACACCCCUGUGUCGACAAAAAAAAAAAAAAAAAAGUUGAGGCAUGAUACAUAAAUAUGCAAAUGCAGUAUUAACAAUUGAAGUUGCUUCUUGAUGAAACAUGAAAGAAAAAAUGAAGGAAAAAUGAGCCAUUUUUCAUUUAGUUUACGAUAUUUGAAAGCAUGACUCGUUCCUGCAGUUCUCAUUACGAACCAAAAACUAAGAAAGACAUGACAGUAAUCCAAAGUCAAAUCCUCCAAUAAGCUGGAUGAGUUGAAAAAAACGUAAUGAUGAUUUGCAUCCAUUGUACCAUUUCUUUGACGCGUGCUGGGACUCAUUGAGCUGUACUUUCAAGUAAACAUGCAUUUAUAAUUGUGGGUUAAAAAUAAAAGCACUAUCCUCUCAAUAAAUUAUUCGGUAGUUAUGAAUUAUGUGUUGCAAUUCUAAAAUAAUGCUCCUAGACAUUUGAGUUUAGCUGUUUUUACACUUUAUGCAAGUCAACCAACAAGAAUAUUAAAUUAUUCUUUACACCAUCUAGGGCUGACUUGGAACUUGAAAUGGUCCCCUUUUGCCUACUCGUUUAGGUCAUACUAAUAAACUUAUCUUUUCUAUUUUCUGUUCCAUUAUUUCUUGCCUACUUCUCCAAACAUGCAUCUUAUUUUAGCUUAAACAUCGAGUCAGUUUCUUUUAUAUUGAAUCUUGAUCUUGUAGAAUAAAGAUAUCACAUACUACAUGAAGUUUGGAAGACUUUUUGACGCCCAAAGUCCUAUAAUUACGUUUCAGAAGAACUGGGAUAAGCUUAACUAACAUUAAGUAUGGUUUAAUUAAGGAUAUAUAUUUAUAAUCCUAUCUUUGCCUCUAAUCAUUGGCAGAAUUAUGAAUUCUGUACUAGCUUAAUCUUAGUUCAACUCCUACAGUUAGAAAAGACGUGGCCAGAAGGCAUUAUUAUUUUUACGAGUGCCAUAACAACCAGAACAAACUUGUAUUGUUGAAAUAUUGUAUUUCAUUUUACAAAGCUAUACCAUACUUUAACAAUGAAUAAGUAAAAGAAAAUAGAUGGCACGAUAAUAUACUUCAUAUAAAAAAUACAAAAAUAAAGAAUCUAUUAUCUCUUUUUUAUUUUUUUUCAAAUGUUAAAAUUGUGUUAUGUAAGACUUUUUUUUUUCCCUUUUUGAGGAAUGUUAUGUAUGACUUCACAAUAGUCGCAUGUCGGCACAGGCUAUAGUUUCGGCUAUUUGAAUCUAAAAGUCGAGUUUUCUCAUGUAACUCAGGCACCAACUUUGCAAACAAAGAUUAAAAGAAAAAAAUGAAAUUGCAGUUGGUUGUAAAGACUCAAAUACAGUACCUAUGAUACCUUUUUCUUAAGCAACAAUAAUAGCUGUUGAUUAAGUAGAAAGGUCAUUAGAGAUGAUAUGGAUACUAAUAACUAAAAGAAUUGCAAAGGAUGUGAAUCCAUUAUUAAAUAAAACUGCUCAUGACUAACCUUAUUUGGUGGGCGCAAUGACGCGUCUAUGAAAAGAAUAAAAAUAUGUGUCUUCAAAUUAAGUAGCCAAUUUCUUUGAACUAAUGUUGAAAGUGUUUGAAAUCUUCGCUAAUCGCAAACUAACAAUUAAUUAAACCCUUGAUUGUACUUUCAACACCUAAACUAAACAAAAGGUAUACGCAGCCCCGGACAACGCUAGCGAUCCAGAAAUAUGAAACUGAAUAUUUCCUGCUCUUGGAAGCAAAAUGUGGCUGAAUAUCUUAUGGAAUGAUAUAUUUAUGGAAGAAAAGAAAUGUUGAAAUCAUUAAACUUUUGGCCUCCAAACAUUAAAUUAAAGUUUUUAUCAAGUGAUGUAGUAUAAAGGGUCUGUUUGGAUUGAAGAUUGUUUGAAAAAGAUUUUUAGAAUAAUAUUAUUAGUAACACUUAAAAAGAUGAUUGGGAACAUGUUUAUGAUGUAAUCAAGAAAAUUUUUUUCCAAUUAACAUCCAGUUGUCAUGGUUUACGCUUUGACUGGACAGAUUGGUCUCAUUUUUUAUCUCCAAUGAUUUCAAUUUCAUUUCCUAAAGUUAUAAUGGUUUAUUUCAGUUGAACAAGUUCAUUUAUAUAAGUUUUUGAAUCUGCAUAUUUGUCCCUUGUCAAGUUUUAUGUAUUCUACUGAAAAAAAAAAAAAGAUAUUAGUCAAUUUACGUAUUACUAGAAAAUUUAUUUAAUCCAAGUUUUGGUCCGGCCUGUGUUGAUCACACUGGUUUUAACAGCUUUCUCGAGCCAAGAAAAAUCAACCCGUUUGUAAUGUGUGUCUAAUUGUAACUUGAGGGAUUUAGUGAGCGCAAUUGAAAAUGAAUCCCGAACAAGGGAAAUAGAAAUCGUUCCCUUCUAUUUCAAUUUUUUUAAAAAAAAUUAUCCAUUUUUAAGUUCAUAUUCAACAUGAAAAUUACAAAACGACUCUAUAGACAAGUCUAAUUUGAACAGAAAGUGCUGAAAUGGACCUAUAUCUCAAAAGACAACUACAUGUUAUAUGCAUGUAAUUGUGCAAGGGUAAGUAGAAUAGCAAGAUAAUUGUAACGUCUCUGAUUUGACUUUGAAAUCCUUCUCUUUCUCUUUUUCUGAAAUUAUGCAUGUUGUAUAAGCACAUCGUGUAGUAAAGCUCAAGUGUUUUAUAUACAUUAAUUAUGUAAAAUAUAUUUUAAGGGAUUAGAAGAAAAGUCCCGUCUAAACCAAAUGAAUACUGUCUUGUACCCUCGAAAAUUUUUGUUGUUGCAAGGUGUGAUAUUGCAAAAUUUGAACCUUGAGCCUAAAUACAAGUCACUUAUUCAUUUUUCAUUUUACCAUACGAAUGCUAUAUCAUACCCUUCCAAAAUUUUCUAACUACAAGCUACUAUAAAAUUUGAACCCGCACCUACACUCGUGGGACCAAUUGCCAACUUGUCUUUAACAAGUUAUUUCUUCGUUUUUCAUCCUGUAAGCGAAUUUGGGAGAUAUGGAGCGAAAUUUUCAACAUUGGCCCUUCAUUUUUCAUCUUGGAAGAGGAAUUGAGAGAUAAAGAGAGAAAUUUUCUACAAUCUCUACGUUUUCCUUUGUUGUGAGUGAGUUCUCUUUGAGAUUUGCAAAAGGCAAUUCUUACAGCAACUAAGGGUGCAAAUGUCAAACACUGAUGUUUAAAAUGUGGGUUUAAUUUAGAGGAGUUUAGAGUUGACGUACACUUCCCUCUACGAGUUUAUGAUUUCAAACGAAUCAAAAGAAAGUAACUCACAAAAAAAAAAAAAGAUUAAAAACCACAACAACCCCAGGCGAGGCAGAGAGUAGCUAGAGGCAAAACACGUGUCUUUCGAUAAAUGGCUUAAGGCAAAACAAAUUCCUAAUGUUGGUAGUUUGAUAAGACAAAGUUAGCUGUCACCUGAAUUUUUGCCCCUAAGUGCUUUAGAUGAAAUGAAAUGGUACAAAAUUGCGACUCAUGCAUACACGAAGUGACGACUCUUUAUUAUUAGAAAGAAAGAAUCACUAACUCCUACUUUGGAACAAAAAUACCUCCUCCAGUCGUGCAAGCUGCAAAGCCGGCCAGCCAAAAAAAAAUACCAUCCCACCACAGAAAUUCCCAAGAGAACCAAAUCUGAUUUUUUGAAAUUCCAAUAUUAGUAGAUUUUAUUCUCAAGCCUGUACACAUACGAAUGUCUAAUUGAGUUGCUGCUUUUUUUCCCCUUUUCUGAGACAGAAUGAGAGAUGAGAGAUCGUGCAUUGGACGGUGCACUUGUUCUUCGCACACGGUACAUUGAAGACUUAAAAUCUGUAAUGUUUUUGUACUUGAUCUAUAGAUUAGUUGUGUAGUACGAAAAUUCAGAGGGAUUGAUUCCCAGUCCCUUUCUGACGCGUAGGAUCGAAGCGUGAGAAUCGGCGGAAUCAAUGGGGGGGCGGGGGGUGAAUGAAGCAGUUAAUGACUAUGUUCAGGUAAUCUGAAUCGCUUUCUGCUAAGCUUCUUGGGAUAUCCCAAAGUGUUUUUAAUCUUAAAAACCAGACUCCCAAGAUGUUACAGCUGGGUUUUAAUUCUGUAGUAGAUACUGUCCUUCCCAAGAGCAUUUUCACAAUUCUUUUCUAUCCAUGAUUCGCUCCUGUCUGUGUAAACUUGCUUGGCAUUUUAAGAUUCUUCUUUUUUUUUUUUUUUUUUUUUGACGGAUGCAUGGGGUCGAAUUUAAGAUUUUAAUCAACCUGCAGACAGGAUUAAAAUCUUGAUAUGGUGCAGAUUUAAUACUCACAAAGAAGAGUUCAUCAAGAUAAGCCAGAUAGAUUUAAUAUGAAGGGAGAAGAAUUCCAUCAAGAGAGGCCAGAGUGAGAGAUCUAUCGCAUUGUGCUGUAUGGAAUGGGAGAUUUUAUGCAUUUGCACGACGUAUUUAAACUAUGACUAUGUCUCACCAAGAUUUUAAACUUUGGAUGGAUGAUGGAAAAUCCCCAUAAUGCUCUUUAUUCCAGAAUUAAAUUCUCAAUCUGCGCUGCGAAUAGAAUAGUUUUAAGGAAGAACAAAAAAUGUUAUCAAGACAGGCCAGAUAGAACAAUGCAUGCAAUGCUGCCACUAGUGAAUGGAAGAUUAAUGCAUUCGUUUAAACGACAUUAAUCAAGACAGAAUCUCAUUUGAACUUCGAAUCACAUUACAUUAGCCCUUUUGCGUUCCAUAAUCAAGCAGCUAAGAAAUACAUCUUCUCAUGCAAAAUGCAGAAGUCACACAAGGAAUAAGUUAGCGAACUUGCAUCAAUGUUUAACCUGAAACUAGUAGAGACAAUGGUUAGGUUUUUGCCCUUUCGGGUUUCGGCAGUCUCAGGCCGGGGGACAAGAACCGAAGUUUGAGGUUACUCUGUCUGAUAUGGAGGCCUGUAACUGUAAGGAAUGUCAUACUCAGCUCCACGAUCAGGCCGACUUCCCUGAUUUUGUUUAUCAUCCCUUGAAACAAUUUUUCUGCUUGAGUUUUCUACUUUAUAGUAUUCCCUGUACCAAACCACGUUGUCUCAAUCCCAUCAGUGCAACUUUCCAUUCUCCGUAACUCGCAGUCUUAGCUAGUUUUCGGGUCGAAACUUGCAUUAUCAUCAUCACUUCUGAUUAGUCAUAAUUAGUCGCACCUAAAUGAAUGUUAAUAAUCAUAAGACUACGACAGUUAACCCUCCCGUCAACCCUAAUGCUUUUUUAAGCUGAGUCUUAAUAUGGUUUAAGCCCAUUGACAUAAUGAAAGUAUUUUAAUGCAUAAUUGCAAGAACUUGUGGGACCCCCUUCUGAGUUGUAUUUUGCCUGGUUUGGCCACGGUGGACUAGUGACUCAUGAGGGAGAUUAGUUACAAAGCAUUAGGACCUCCCCUAAAGAAUGAUUAGCUAGGUUUUGAGUACUCAAUAUUCAAGUCAAACCCCAGCUAACAUUCUUUCAUUCCAUUGUAACAAUAUACUAGUAUAUAUAUGUCCCCAGUUUUUUGUUCAUUUCAAGCGUGACCGAGUAUCAUCAUCAGUAUCGGUACUAGUGAACAAACAUUCCCUUUUGUUUCUUUUUCCCAAAAGGCUGCUAACUCCACUUCUAAGAAACUUAAAAACAUGGAGCCAAUGGCAGCUUUUUUUGAUGAAGAAUGGGAGUCUUUGAGCAGAAUGUUCUCCACUGAAGAUGCAGAGUUCAUGAUACAGCAACAUGGGCAUGAAUCCCUGUCAAAUGACUCUGACAGCAGUUUGUUCUUCCAGACAGCAGCAAAUUUCUGGCCCGUUGGUGAUGCUAACAUUGAAAAUGUGGCAGGGGUCGGUGAGAGUUUUUUGUGUUGCGAUAAUACCAUUGAUUAUAGUAACUUCCUAAAUGUUUCUCAAGACAGUAGCAGUAGUAAUGCAAGUGAUACUAGUAUUGUUUUUCCCAAUCUGAGCUAUGAAUUCCACCAGGCUAGUGAUAUUAAUGUUUUCCAAGUAACAAAUGGUACACCUGAGUCCAUGGAUUUUAAUGCGAUGGAUGAGAAAAAUGAUAACUCCUCAGUUCCAGUUUUCCUUGAUGGUCUCGUGGAGGACAUUAUCUCUCCAAGGGAAGUGAUGGGUAGUGAAAAAAUGAACAAUGCAGAGACUCAGCCAGCAAGCAAUGGCAAUUCAGCUAAUGAAUUGCUGCUUAAAAGGAAGUUCAAGAAAUCUAAACUCCAAACUGAAGCAGAACCUGUUGAAAAUUCUAAGAAGAAAUCUCGAGUUCCGAGAAAUGUGAGUAAACUUUUACAGCUGGAUGUGUAAAUUUAAUAUCUCUUUGCGGGCAUCUUUGAUUAGUCUUUGUUACUCAUGCACUCUGGUUUCUGAGCAGGUUCAGAAAACUAAAAGGAUUGUGCAGCCCAAAUCCACGAAGAACCAGAAGGCACAGCAAAUUAACAAGGAUGAAGAGGAGGCUAAUGGUGCACAGAAUGGACAGAGCUCCUGCUCUUACAGCUCAGAGGAUGAUUCUAAUGCUUCUCAGGAGUCAAAUGGAGGAGAAGCUUCAGAUAACAAAGGGCCAGCCCUCAACUUGAAUGGUAAAACAAGGGCCAGCAGGGGGUCUGCAACUGAUCCGCAAAGCCUCUAUGCAAGGGUAAGAAAUUCACCAGCCUUGUAUAAAUAUUCAGAAUUUAGGAUGAUGAAAACAUGAUCUAGUUUGGAUUACAGGAUUCUUUACUAAAGAUUUGAUUGUUUGUAUUGCAGAGGAGAAGAGAAAGAAUAAAUGAAAGACUGAGAAUCUUGCAGAAUCUUAUCCCCAAUGGAACUAAGGUAAACUUCAAUAAUGAAUUGAAAGUGCCUAAUUCACAUAUUCUUCACUACAAGAAAUAGGUAUCAUCUUGCUUUAGUGGGAUUUGGACGAAAAAAGUGCCUAACAGAUCCUGAUUGUACUUGACAGGUUGACAUUAGCACAAUGCUUGAAGAGGCAGUCCACUAUGUCAAGUUCUUGCAGCUUCAGAUUAAGGUAAGAACAAUCCGACAAUCCUGUCUUAAUUUGUCAAGUUCCUUCCCUGCUUUUAGCUAUCUAGUUUGAUGACAAUUUUGGCUAAGUCCUAUGCUCUCGUGUCUCUGCAGUUACUGAGCUCAGAUGAUAUGUGGAUGUAUGCUCCUAUUGUCUACAAUGGACUGGAUAUUGGUCUGUAUGGGAGGACUUUCCCCACCCUAUGAUCCAGGAAGCAGCUGCUGCAAUUUUUUUUUUUCAUUUUUUUAAUUCUUUAUCUGCUGCCAGAGGAGAAAGAAAUAAAAGAAAAGGACAAAAUUGCAGAAAAAAAAAUGCAAAAAGACUGUACAAUCUGACUUGUAAUUGCUUCUCAGAGUCUCAUGUUUGAUCAUGAGUAAUAACUUACAUAUUUUAGAUUAGCUUUUGCAAUUAAAGUAUUGUUGCACAUGGCUCUCAAAGAGUACUUCCAUUGUACCAAAGAUUAAGAUUCAUGAAUCUAUUCAAUCAACUGCACAUUUGCAAUCAUGAUCCUGAUUCCUGAACAACUCAAUUUUAUGCUACAUGUAAAGAAUGAAUGUGAAGAGUCAUAAAAUAUUAUUCCUGCUUGCAUUAUUGAUCUUCAACAAAACACACCUGUCGCUAAUGCUAAUUGAUGGUCAUAUUUUAUGACAGCAAAUUUUGCAUUUCUCUUCAAUAACUGUCCCCUUGAUAUGAAAAUUUGGAUGUGACAAAAUUGGUUUAAGCAUUACGAGCUUGAAAUUAUGGUUUUAAUCGCUUCUCACCGUGCAAUUUCUAGUUUGCUGCAAAGCCCUUGAAAGUUUCUAAGAGCAAAGCAUUGAAUUUCACAAGUUUAAUAGAUUAUGUUAUGAUACCUUUUCACGUUCAAUUGUUCAGCAUUGGGAACAAGUCAGUUAAUAAGAAAAAGAAAAAACUCAGAAGUUCGGUCUGUAGUUUCGUAAAUUCAAUUCGUAUGUACUUGUACAAAAUAUGCCAGUUUCCCUUCAUGAAUCUCAAAAGGGUUGAUCAAUUUUUAUACCGUUGUUCUCACUUUACAAUCAUUAGGGUGGAGGUAACCAUUCAUUAGAACGUAUGAUUAGCAGGUCCCCCCCCCCCAACACACACACACACACAAAGACACUACAAGUCUUACAAAAGAGGAAGGAGAAGUGAAAAAGGGUUGAAAUAAUAUCAAGUGGCAUUAAUUUGGAGAUAGAUCUAUCUUGUAGAUCUUAGUAGGGUAGGUGGAUUUUGACAUAAAUUGCCUCGAUAUUGUGAUUAUACUAACUUGGCGCCCCUGUUUUUUUAGUAUGUCUUUGAUAAACAAUUUUUUUUUUAAACAAUUUUGUCUACAAGUGCUUUCUAAAAAUACACAAAAUUUUUAAAAUGCGAAGCAUAGUUCAUUUGCACUUCUACCGCCACAGCUCCCACCUUGGUCCGCCACCACUUCCUACCGCCACUACCGCUUGCGGUAAUGGGAAGAGGGAGAGGGUGGCAAUAGUGGGAAGGGAGGAAGAAGAAAAGAGGGAAUAAAGGGGGAAAAAGGAAAAGAAAAACAAAAUAAAAUUUUAAAGUUUUUCAUCUACUUCUAAACAUCCAAAUACAUAAAGGUUUUUUCUAUAAAUUUUACUGCAAGUUACAACAAAGAUUUAAACAAACUAUAAAAAAUAUACGAUUCAAGUGAAGCUAAAAUUCAGUCGGAAGACUUACCGUGGAUUGCCCUUUUCCAUCCCACGGGUGUUGUUGCUCCGAAACUUAUUUUGAUUAUUCCAUUAGGGGGAAAAAGGGAUCUUUCAAUCAGACACCUUAACAGAUUUUAUGAUUAAACUGAAAUUCAUCUAGAGUGGAGAAUAUUUUUAAGGAUGUUUGGUCCCUGUGAUACUCAUAAGUCAUACCUAUUGUUUGGUAGUAUAUUACUAUGGAAAUCAUUUAAUAGGAAACAUUAGAGAUAUUGCCCCUAUUAUUUCUCUGUUAUCGGGUAUUGUUCUAGUUUCGAAUUAAUUAACUUUUUAGUGGAAUGAAAUCGAUUCCAAGCCACCCGAGCAAAAUAGACCCAUAGUAGUGGCGUUUAUGAUUCCCGUUCCAAUUCCAACGCCAGAACAUAAACCGCACCUCUUUAGUUUUUAUCUUAAUUCAACUUCUGAAAAUUGUAGUGGUGGCUCCUAUGGAGUUUGUCUUGUCUAUAAGCCUGUUUCACCAUUGGGCCUUUUGAAAUGCAUUAUUGGGCUUGAAAUGAAUCGAUGAUACAGGUUUGAUGACAACUUUUCAGGAAAUUGUUUGUUUUUAGGGAAUAAUAGGAUUGGGCUUUUUGAAAUUCAUGAUAGGGCUUGAAAUGAUACAAGUUUGAUGACAACUUUCAGUCCUUGAUGCAUUGGGCCUAUUUGGUUUUUUACCAAGUUUUUUAGCUACUAGCAACUUUUACUACAGGAACCCCAAAAAAUUUUCUAAAAUUUUUUACCUACACACUUCAAAAAUCUAUACACAAAAAAUUUCCCAAAAACUUUUCUUCCUCCCUUACCCAACCCACCACACCAGCCACCACCUCUCCCGGCGCCGGUCACCUAUUCCGAUGCCGGUAACUUCAAAAAAAAUUUUUGAGUCCCUCACCCUCUCUCCUCCCCUCCCCUCUUCCCCUCACCCUCCCCCGCCACCCUCCCCCUCUUGCUAGGUGCGAUCUGGUUGCGUGACCAGAUCGCAAAGGGGGAGGGGGAGGGGGCCUGCGAUCUGGUCUAGUCCCAGAUUGCAGAGCAGAGAGGGGGAAGGUUGCGGAGAAGGGGGAGGGGAAGAGGGGAGGGGAGGGAGGGAGAGAAAAAACAAAAAAAAAAUUAAUGCACAGCUGCCGGCCUUCCUCGGGCAUCGGAGUGCGAGGGGGAGGAGAGGGAGAGGGGAGAGGGGAGGAAAGAGGGAGAGUGGGCAGAAGGGGUGGCAGGCAGAGGGGAGAGGAAAGGAAUGGUGGAAAAGUUUGGGGGUGGUGAGGGAGAGGGGAGGAAAGGGGUGAUGGGGAAGGGAGAGGAGAAAAGCAAAAAAAAAAAAAAAACAGAGGUGCUGCUGGAGGUGGGAGACAGAGGAGAGGUAACGGGGAAGAGGAAGAAGAAGAGGAGAGGAAAGAAAAGAAAAAGAAAAAGAAAGAGAAAGAGAAAAAGAAACAAAAAGAUAAAAAGAAAGAAAAAAAAAGUUUUUCACUUUACAAAAAUUUCUACAAAAUUUUUCACAUUCCAAAAACUUCUACAAAAAAGUUUUUCACCUUACAAAAACUUUUAUAAAAUUUUUUCAAAAACUUCUACAGUGCACUACAGUAAAGUUUUAGACAAACUCCCAAAAAACUCAGGUUCCAAACAGGCCCGUUGUUUGUUUCGGGGGAAUGAUAGGGAAAGGAAAUAAAAAGAAAUAGAGGGAUAAGAUUUUCUAUAUUUGGGCUAAUUUUUUAUGAGAAGAAAGAAAGGAUAGGGAGAAAAAGGAAAAGAUAAGAUCUAAUUAUUUUUUAUUAACUUACUUUCUAUCUCAAAGUGAGUGGAAAUGGAGGAAAAUGAAAUCAAGAUUAAUGAAAAUUUUGAAAUUUCUUCUACUCUCCUAUGUUUUCUUUUCCACUGAAAUCCUCUCCUUUUCUUUCUUUCAUGCCAAAUAGUAUAGGCAAUACCGUCAAAGGAUGAAGUGAAGCGGAAUGUGUUUGAGUUGGAAAGAGAUGGUGCAGCGGGGCCAAAUGGUUUUUUUGCCUUUUUUUUUAUCAAGUUUGUUGGGGUAUAAUCAUAUAGGAUUUACUGACUGUGGUUCGGGAUUUCUUUUAAGGAAGAUAAUCCCUUUCUUUAUACACACCCUAUAGUGUAAGGAAAGAACGACAGAAAGCCUCAAUUUUUCUACCGAAUGAACAUGAAUGAUCAAAGGAUAAAGUGCCCUGAGUUUAUUACUUUUCCCUCUUAAAGAAGUACAAAGAAUGAGCUUUAGUUGAAAUUUUCGAACAAAUGAUUUUGACAUCUAUAAUAUAUAUAUAUAUAAUGGAAGAGCUUCCUAUUGGUACAAACAAUUAAUGUCACUUAAUAUUAUACCAAAAAUACCCUCUAAAUUUAUUUUAAAACUAUUCAAGUUCCUUCUUUCUCUUUAUCAUUAUCAUAAGUACAUUUACUCACAUUUCCGCUUUUUCUCUACCAUCAUUUUAAAUACAAUAACUUCCUAAAAAAAAUAGUAUCCAUAAGGGAUUGAAUAGAGCAAAGCAAAUCCGCGACACUUCAACAUGGAUCCAUUUGCAGAUCAUCUCUAGGACUGUCAAUGGGGUCGAGCCAACCUGAGUUCGACUCGUUCAGCCCCACAACAAGUCCGGUUAGCCCGAUAUUUUAGUGAACCGGUUUGAAUUUGAGUCUAAAAAUUAGGUCCGAAUUAAAUAUGAGUCGAGCUUGGACCUUAAUAGACUCAAACCCCAUAUAGGUCCAGCCCUUUAAUUACCUAUAUAUAUAAUUUUUAUAUUUUGUAUAAUUAUAUAUCCAAAUAUAUUAUUACUAAAUACUAAGUAUAUCUAAAUUACAAAAUAUAAAAAUACAUCUGAAGACUCUUCUAUGAGCUUUCUUGAAAGCCAAUAUUAGUAAUGCAUAGCUAAAUCUCUAACUUUUCUUAUUGGUUGAGUAUAUUUUUGUGUUAGUAUAAUAUUGGUUGAUUUCUUUUUUGGUCUAGAAACACAAAUCAUCAAACAUAUUUGGAUUCAAAUUAUAAGGCUAUAAAAAAGUUUCAACUUUUGAAGAUGUAUUGGUUUAUGACCGCAUGUUUUAUUACUAUUUUUCAUGUAUUUUGAACAAAUUAAAUAUAAAUAUUGUUGAAAUUUUUUUGGUUUAUAUACUUUUUAAGAAUUAUUAUUUGUUCUUGUUUAGUUUUAAUAUUGUAGUCCUGUAAAUGUUAAAUUAGUUUUACAACUUAAUAAUUAUAGUAAUUAUAUUAAGAAAAUUAAGAAGUAAUAAGUGAAUUUAGGUUAAACCCGAAUAAGGCUCACAACCCGAUUAUUACGUGAGUUGAGUAUGAGUUUCAUAUUUAUUAACCCGAAACUUAUAGCCUGAAACCCGAAGAUGUUACAAAUUAAAUGAGUUGAAUUCGAACCUAUGAAAGUUCGGCUCAUUAGACCCAAUUGACAGGCCUAAUCAUCUCGCGGAUCCUUGUGUUAAUUGGUGCAGCUUGUUUAUCCACUUGCACACUUUUCUCACUUCUUUUUGACCAUCUGUAUGUACUAACUUCUACAACAAAUUGGGAAACUCUUAGACAUCUUUUUAUUGACUCUUGAGAGCAAUUAGGAGCAAAGUAGCUAAACUUUUUUGUAUAAAAACACCUAGAGAUUUAGGAAAUUUUCCAACAUUUUCAUAGCAAGAUUUGUAGUAGAAAUUCUAUCGUACUUGAAAGAUUUGAAGACAGAGUAGUAAGAGGAGCAUGGAGGAGCUUUAUCACUACAUUUGAAAUAAGAGCUCUUCAUUUUUAACUCUUUACUUCUUUACAUUCAUUUAUUAUCUUGUUGCAAGAGAAAUAAAUGCUUGUACUUGCUUAAAUCUAUUCAUAGCUAAACUACUUUCUCAUAAAAUUGAGAUGGAUGUAUUUGUAUCAGGAUUUGCAAUGAUUAUGGUUGAUUGUUGCUAAUUAUUGCACUUGUUAUUUCAUGUAUUCAUGUUUUAUAUUUGUGAUUACUUGAUCGCUAAUUGCAAACCAUCUAAUGUAUUGUUAGGAGCAAUGAAAAUUAUUUUCAAUAAUAGAUUUGGAUUCAUAAACCCUAAAGAGUAUACUUAUGAAAGUAGAGAUACAUUUAGGUAGAUUUUUAAAAAGUAAUUUCACACAUCUUAACGAUCUUGUAUCUAAUUAUUCAACCAUGAAAAUGGGUAAGUGAUAGAUAUAUGCAUACUUGAUUCACCGGUGAAAUUGGGUUUAAAAUACACUAGAACAUUACUCCUUGGUAAAAUAUUAGUUAAUAGUUUCAAUCAACUUAAUCAAUUCGAAUCUAGAGCAAACAGAGGAGUCAAAAACCUUAGGAAGUGUCUUUUAUUGAUCCUCAAUUGUUGUUUCUUUUCAUCUCAUCAAGUAUACUUUCUUGUAUAACUUUUACCUAAUUUUUAGUUGUUCAGAUAGUAAAAGAGUAAGUUUACAAGAUUUAAUAACUGCAAUUGUUCCUUAUAGAAUCGAUCAUAACUCGUAUCGACUUGUAUACUUGCAGAGAAUGAUAAAUAUUUAUUACUUGAUAAUUAUUACUUGACAUACAAGUACAAAUGCACAAUCAGUAUAUAUGAUUCAGUAUGGCAAUAAGGGUAAAGAAGUAAAUUGAUUUACAAAGGAAAAAACUAUUUGUCUACAAAUUGUAUUUGUAUAGUACUUAUUUGUUCAAAAAUUAUUUGUAUGAAUCAUAAGCAUAUCUUAUAAAUUAUUUUUUUUAAUCUUUUCAAUCAAUUUUUUAUUUUUUAUACAUUACAUCACAACAAUCAUUAUAGUAAUUAUUUCAAAUAAUAUUUUAAAUAAUUUAUUGUUGACGAUAAUCCUUAUUCCAAAUAUUCCAAUUAAUUUGGUGAUAAUCUUAGAUUCGGAGCCCCAAGUCCAGAACCCGUAUUAAUCUUCUAAUAGCAGGCCAAGCUCUCUCUCUCUCUCUCUCUCUCUUUUUCUCUCUCUCAUUCAUUCUGCGCCACCAUGACUUCGGCGGAGCAGCCGCUGAAGAAGCGGAAGAUAUUCGAACAAUUUAAACAAUCAUCACCAUCACCUCCACCUCCACCUCCAUCUGCACCACCGUCACUACCAGCACCAUCACAACAACAACAUCCGCCACCGCCAGGAACGCCGCCAGCUCAGCCUCUAACGCAGGAAGAAAUUUUCCGAAGACAAGGAAACCUCGAAGAAAUUCGUAAAGUCUACAAUUGCCUCAAGCAAAUCAAAUGCUGCAUCGCCCAAGAGGAGCAGGAGCCCCGUCACUUGCCCGAACUAGAACAAGCUUAUCUGUAUCUCAUCACUGCUUCCCGAGGUUAGGAAUAAAGUUGAUCAUUACUGUUUAGCCCCUCUUAUUUUGAGAACUUUACGUUUUUAUACCUAAGUUUCUGUUUGCUAAUUUUCUUGUUCGGUUUUAAACGCGGAUGUUAGAUUGGAAAGGAAUUUAGGCUAACUAAGUUUAGGGUAUUUUGUAUUUGGAAUAACCGGAGCCAAUUUCGCAUUGAGUUAAAUUUCAUUUAUUAUCUCCUGAAGGUUCGAUUUGUUAAGCGUUGGAACAUAGAAGGAAUUGUAAGAACUGAGGAAAAAAUGUGGUAGAAGUGGUGAGAGAGGUGUUGAAAAUGAAAUCCUACUUAACCUCAUAUGACUCAAGCUAAUUUUCACUUUAGGCUCCGCUUAGGCAAAACCAGCCUAAUUCAAACCAACACUAUAUGUUUAUGCUUCUUUUUUUUUUUUAAUUCUUUUGACGAGCUCAAAGUUGUGUUUGAGCUUAGAUUCGUUACUUUUUCAGCUGGUUAAAAUGAGUUUUUAUUGAGUCAAGCAGGAGUAUAGCACGAAUAGCUUGAUUGGCUCGUAAUAAUAUUUGAGUAGCAUGCCUAUCAGUCUCCCUCAGCUUGAGAAGUAAAUAAAUUUGCUUGAGCGUGGUUUUCAUUGCUUGACAAAGCAAUCCCGAAUAAGCUGUUGCAGAGGCAAGUAGCUUGAUCAGUGUUUCAGAAUAAGCUCUUAUUGAGCUAAGUAGCAGAGUUCAAUAUCAUGCCAAGUGGUCUAACAAUAAAGUGGCUGAAUAUGUGCAGCAUUUAAAUGUAUAUGCAUGAUGGUCUAACAUCAAAGUUGCUCUUAUGUUUUUAGUUGAGUCCUACCAAACAAAAAAAAAGUACAUUUCUCUGUGAGGUUUUGGCAGGAAGGUAGUUUACAUUAACUUUGUGAAUUAUUAAUGCUGACUUUCAGGCUGUACAAGUGUACAACGUAUAGUAGCUGAUUUGAUUCCCAGAUAUGCAUCAUAUUGUCCUACUGCACUUGAAGCAGCAGUAAAGGUUGUUAUUAAUAUGCACAACUGCAGCUUGGCAUUGAUAAGCAAUGGGGAGGAUUUUGACGGUGUUGCAUUUGAAACUGCCGAAGCAUGUAUUUUUGGUCUGGUUGAUAUCUGCGGAGCUGCUGCAAAGGAAGCACCAACAUCAUCGGUUAUUCAAGGCAUUUGUUCGGCAGUUUUUCUGAGUGUGUUUACCUUCUUCAUAUCUUCUUUUGAGGGGAAGGAUAUUUUUCAAAUUAUUGACAAGGAAUCUCUAAUGAUCCAAGAUGCCAAAGAAUUCACUUCUGAGUUCAAGGAAAAGUUUUUGGAUGAAGGAGAUUCAAAAUUGUUGAAAUUACUUAAAUUUCGUGCUGUAAGUUUCCUCAGGUUAUUCUUUAGUUGCCCAAAACAUUCACUUUCAGCAUGCUUUGAGCUCUUCGACUCUACUGCGACAGAUGCGACAAACAUGGGAGGACAUUACUUUCUUCGUCAACUGACAAACAGGCUUGAUGAUGCUGUUUCUUAUAAUUUGACUCAUGAAAGUGAUGAUGAAAAGCCAUCUCUAAGUUCCAUGGGAAAAAUUUGUCAAGGCAACAAUGUUGGUGCCUAUCGACACUUAGAAAGCAACCUUGUUCCCGGAAAUGUUUCUGCAGUUUCCAGGAACUGCAUACUAAGCCUGGUGAGUUUUUAGUGUUGCUUUAGAUUGUUGAUUUGGUACCAAUAUUAUGUUGAAUUCUGGUAUGUUCUCUUUUCCCCCUUUUGUGCAAAACUUAGAUUUGCUCGAGUCAUGUCUGUGAACAACAUUGAAGCCUUUUUACAACCUGAGAUCAAGAUAGAUAUUGUUUGUAUCCAUAUUCGUUAGGAUUGGUAGGGAAAGAGCAGGGGAUGGAACGUGCCCAUUAGAAUCUAUGGAUGGCUUUCCAUAUCUAUUCCUGAUUCUGGAGAUAUAAAAUUACCCUUUUGCAUUGGUUAUCCAAGCAAAGUCACCACUAGUUUCAGGGCUAUAAUUACUUGACAGACUUGCACCUUCAAGGUAUUGAAAGAUUUAUAUAAGACAAUAUCAAGAGGACUUUCAGGCUUGGUUUCAGGUGCUCUGAAAUCUAUGUGAAAGGCUAGUUUGACGAACUUCCAAGAGCUGUAUUCUGUUUGAAUAUUUUAUUCUUUACUUAUUUUGGUAGUUGAAGUAUCAAUGUUGGCUUAUCAUAUAGCCCAAAAGGAAAAAAUUCUGGAAACUGUACCUGAAUAUCUUCGUUAUUAUCAUUUUAUUUGAAAACUACAUGGAUGGAGCCUUUGUGUGUUGGUUAUGGUCUAUCUGAGGUGCAGAAAAGAGGAGGAUCAACAACAAAAUCUGCACAAUCGAAGAAAAAAUAAUAAAACUGAAAAACUGACAAAUAAAACAGCAACAGAUGACAAUGGCAGAAGAAAUUCAUGGCAAAUGAAUGGCCUCAAAGUCAUCAGUAUCAAAGGCAAAUUCAGAUACAUGGAAGAUGGAAAGCAUGUGGAGACAUCUGAAGACAUCAACACAGUUACAUUUGUAUCACAUGCAGCCCAUGUGUGUUCAAGAGUCAUGGUUUUUGAACUUUAAUGCUUUACUUUAAUUGUUUCUUUACUUAGUCAUAGAAUUUUUGGAUGAAUCAUCAAAUGACAUGACCCGUAGAUUGUACAUGUUGUAGCAAGUCCCAACUAUAAAUAAGGGACUCCAGAGUAUUGUCAAUACAAGUUCAGAGCUACAACCAGGACACGAGUUCAGGAAUUCGUAAUAAACAAAAGCUAAAAAAAAAAACUUACAACAGUUAAGUACGCAGCUUUAUACCUGACAGGAGCAAUAUUCAGAUUUUGCUUGGUUUUCAGGAAUUCGUAAUAAACAAAAGCUAAAAAAAAAACUUACAACAGUUAAGUACGCAGCUUUAUACCUGACAGGAGCAAUAUUCAGAUUUUGCUUGGUUAUGUACAGGAUCUUUGAGUGAAUUGUAAACUAUACUAAUGAAGUUGUUUGGAAAGAAAAGGAAGGUGAAUUUUAUUGAUAAGGAAAAAACUUGUAUCUAUGAUACAUUGGAGUCCCCUAUUUAUAGUUGGGAUUUAUUACAAUAUACAUGUAUAAUGAUUCAUCGAAUAACUCUAUGACUUAGCACAGAAACAAUUACACUUCAAUAUUGAAAUCUGAAAAUCAUGAUUUUUGGACACAAAUGGGCUGCAUGUGCUAUGGUAGUAGUUGUACAGAUGUCUUUGAGAUGUGUCUACGUGCUUUCUAUCUUCCUUGCCGUUGUGUUUGUCUUUGAUACUGAUGACUUUGUGGCCAUUCGUUUGUCUUAAAAUUUUUCUGCCAUUGUCAUCUGUUGCUGCCAUUGAAUUUUGCUGCCAGUGUCAUUUGUUGCUGUACCUAUACUUCUUGACUUGCCAUGUUUUAUCUGUCAGUUUUUAAUUUUACUAUAUUUCAUUGAUUGUGCUGAUUUUGUUGCUGAUCCUCCUAUUAAAUAGCUAGAAUUCGAUGCAGAUAGUAUGGAAAUAGUAUGUGGUGGCUGUGGUGGAAGAUUACAAAAAAAUAGCAAUUGAUGCAGAUAGAGGGUGAAUAUCAUAUAAAAUUCAUAGCAGUGCAGUUAUUCUCCUACUUAAUGAUGGACCAAAUUAGAUUCAACACUUUAGUAGAUGAUGUUGAUCUUAUCAUUUGUCCCUAGGCAACUGUUCUGGUAUUGUAUUAGACAAUCACCCUGAUAACUAUUCCCAGCAGACACUCUUUUAUUUAUUUUUUUGUGAUAUAGAGAAUAUUAAGUUAUGCAUCUUUGACCUAAUUUGUUGAUAUAAACUUCUACCAUGUGCCUGUCUAUUUAUUUAUUUUUAAUUUUUUACACUUCUUGUUCUUGUUGUGUAUUCUUUGUUCCCCAAUUGAAUUGCCAAGUUAUAUUGUCAGAUGGUUGGUAAAUCAAAAUAUCUCCUCAUGUUUUGGUCUUCAGUUUAUGACCAUCCAUGAAAUGAUUGAUCUAGUCUUUACACACAUCCUCAUCAAAUGCAACUGGUGGAAUCCUUUUUUUUUUUUUUAAAAAAAAGUCAAAUUAGAAUGCCACAAUGAUAACUGCGACUGUGUUGUCAGUCUAUGGUUCUCCUUCUCAUGUCCUGUUUCCGACGUUUUCUGUGCAGGUUCUUGGGAAAGACUCAUCCCUGAAAAGUUGGAUUUUCUCUAGGUACAGAAAGUUACGUGCAUCAGUAGCUUCAGAGAUUGUUUCAAAAAUUACUUCUCUUUUGGAUGGAAUAUUUGAAUCUUUCACAGAACAAGUAAAUAGAGAAGAAACCCAAGCCGAUGAUAACGAGAGUGAAUGUAGCCAAUCCAAGUAUGUUAGUCAGUACUUGGUUUCUAGGGAACAUAGUCAACCAGAAUCAUCAUCUGAAGUUAGUGGGAAAGAUUUUACUUCGAUAAUUUAUGAUAAACCUUGUGCAGACAACAUGACUAGCAGAUUUUCCAGCUCACAUUUGAAAAGAAGCAGCUCAGUCGAUUACCAUUCAAGUGCAAGUCCCUCCAUUGAUAGUGGAGGGUCAAGGUCCAUGGACUUUGAUUUUGGGGGCCCAGGAGAUUCAUCCCAUUCUAGGUCUUCUGUUCCAAGAGACUUGUUGAACCGACAUAUUCCCUCGCCUAUCACAAGAACACCGGGGGGCUCAAGGAGUUCACUCCAUGGUGUCCAAAGAGAGAAAAGUCAAGUUUUGAGCAUGGACGUCUCUUCUCCUAUCUUGAGGUCUGUCAGUGAAGCCAUGAGUUGUUCUUUUGAUUCACCUAAGAAUCCUUUGUCACUGGGAAAUCCUUCAAUGAGUAAAGUGGUUUGGUACUCUGAUGGUGACCCGGCAGCCAUGGAUGUUUUUGCAGCUUCUAAACAGCUUUGGUUGGGUCCUUUAGGUCCUGAUGCAUCUGAAGGGCUUGUAAGGUCUCAGUUUGAGAAGUUUGGCCCCAUAGACCAGUUCAUCUAUUCUCCAUUCAAAGGAUUUGCCUUAAUAGAGUACAGAAACAUUCUUGAUGCUUUCAAAGCCAGGGAGAAUAUGCGAGGACGUUCAACUUGGGGUGCUAGUCUUCAGAUAAAGUUUUCAGAUACAGGGUCUGGAACUAGGGGGGAUAUAAAUGGGGUUGCUGUUGGUUCAACUUGCCAUGUUUACGUUGGUCAUGUUUCAAACCGAUGGGUCAGGGAUGAGGUAAUGAAUGAAGUCAACAAAGUACUCCAUAAGGGACCUCGCAUGGCAACUGAUCUUAUUGGUGAAGGUGCAUUGCUGAUGGAAUUUGAUACACAUGAUGAAGCUACUAUUGCCAUGGCUCAUCUGAGAAAGUGGCGCAAGGAAAGUGGUAUCACUCUUCCGCAGUCACAUGGAGGUCCUGCUGAUGUGAUGCAUUUCGAAGGAAAUAAGUAUUAUGGUAAUAAUGUAAUUGAUGCUCAAGCACCGUCCGAAAAGCCAUCUGAUGGUUAUUUGCCCAGGGUAUCACGUUUGUCUUCUAUGGUUUCGCAGUUACGAAUGAAGUAUAAUAUUCCUCAAAACCUGGCUCAUCCUGACACUCAUUUAUCUGGAAAUCAUCACAUUGCUUCCACAAAAGAACAAUUACCAACGAAUAUUCUCUGGAUUAAUAUCCCCCAAAUGAACCCCAUUUUUCUCACUGAUGAUGAAGUAUUGGCCCUUUGUAAUGUUGCGAUCAACAAUGUUGGAUCUAUUGUCAGGUUGACAAGACAAAAUAUAUCUACAGGUUCCUGUUGGUUUGUUGAAUGCAACAGCAUAGAAACAGCAAGAACUCUUCUAAGCACUCUUCGUGAUUGUCCAGAGAUAUUCUUCCAAAUUGAAUUCAGGUUAAAUUACUGCUGAUGCUUCUUUGUUUCAAUCAUUUUCCUUUUCUGUUGAUUGAUAAUUUCUGUUUCUGCUUUAUCCUUGAAACUAGAGUUUUAGGGGUAUAGCUCAUUCACUUUAUACUUUUUUGGGUUAAUACAAAGAAAGACAAUCUUAAAAUAAGAGGCAUCUUAUUUGUAAUGCUGAUUUUAUUGAGCAAACCGUGUCCUACAACAUGUUAUCAGUUGGUUUUGAGACUUUCAAGAAUUGGUUUAAUGGUUUUCGGUUAGAAAAUGAAGGAACAAAAGGAAAAAAAAACAUAGCCUCAGUUUUGCUGGUGCAGUGAGGCACAUUUUAUUGAUUGCAUAGGGAUGUUGAAACGAGCUCUUUUAGAUUAGAUUUUAUAAUUGGUCACCAUAAAAAAUGAAGAAUAGCAGGCAUGUGCAAAUUAAUUGGGUGGCACUUCAUUUUUCCUUGACAUAUCUAUGCAUUUGUUGGAGGCAUCUCAUCCUUUCAUGCUUUAAUUUGAGGACUGAAGGAAAUAAAUUCAUGUUUUCUGAAACUCAUGGGUGCCGUUGCCUUUCAGCAUGAAGCAGUUGCUAGACUCAUAUUUUGAUUAGCCUAAAGCAUCAUACUAUAGUUCAUGCUUUGUAUAAAACUAGUGGUAUAGGUGCACUCAAAGUUGUGCAAAUGUAGGGAAUUAAUCGAGGAAAAGAAACAAAUGGACAGUGAGGCUAAACUUUUUCAAGUGGUGGCACCAUUUUACCCAUUAGUGUGAGGCUAAAGGAAAUACAAAAAGCGACAGAAAAGUUAACUCCAACCCCUUUCUCUGGCUUUGUCAAGUAAUAAGAUAUCGGUCCUGUUGUUAUAAUAUUGGGCGCGAACAGAUUAUCUUCUACUUAUUCUUUCUUCCUUCCAUCAUAUAUGUAUGGUGUCAACUACUACAGUCCUAACAGAAGUAUGUCCUAAUGUUUUCAACAGUCAUCUUGGAAAGCUCCAGACCCAGCUCCUGGUAAAGCCUGAUGGCAAUGCUCUGGAGCUUACAUCACCCAGACUAAAGCCAGAAAAUCAUGGAGUCAUGAGGCAAGGUGGACAUGCAUUUCAGUCAAACUGGGCCCAUGUUGGUCAUUCUGGCAGGCAUGAAGUUCGGUCAAUAACUCCUGAAGCAUUGUUUGUGGAUCCUUCUCAUGGAGGUAGUUUUUGUUAUCUUAUAAGUUUAUGUGCAGAGGAUGGUUGCAUAUAUUGAACAAAAACUACAUGUAAUCCUUUAUUUUCCUUCGUAUGCUGGAGAAGAGUAAAAUAUUUUCAGUGUUUAUGUUUUUCUUGUUCAUGCUCAGGGGGUCAUGUUGUUUCAAGUUCUGCUGAACAGAUGUGGAUGUACAGAAAGCCAGAAGCAGAGCUGCAUUCUGGACCACGAAGCAUUCCGCAUAUAUCUGCACCAACUGUUGGGCCUUCUAUUGCACCACCACUACCAGUUCAAGCGCCUUAUUUCCGACCUCUUAAUUUUCCACCAAAUAGUUCAUGGGAUGUGCGUGGUUUGAACAACCAUAUGCCUAUAAAUCCAAUUUCACCUCGUGUAAUGCCGAAUGUUCAUCGCAAUCCAAUUCCACCACCAUUUAUACCAGCUUCUGUGACUCCGUUAGCUCAAUUUCAUGGAAACUCAAUGCCUUCAUUUGAUCAGAUGUUUUCUGUUCCUGCAGUUACACCACCUCCCCUCAUAGCUCCCUUACCCCCUUCUCAACCCGAUGUCCAGCCUCCAUUACCUCCAUCCCAGCCUCCACCCCCACCUCCACCCCCUUAUUCUCAGCCACCUGUCGCUCCUCCUCCGCCUACUUCUCCACCUCCACUUCCACCUUCAGUAUCUUCUAGUUCAGAAUAUAGUAAGCAGUCUAAUGUACAACACAAGUGGCAGGGAACCUUGAGCAAAAGUGGUAUACAUUACUGUACAAUUUAUGCACAGAGAGUUGAUUCUGAUAUUUGCAAGUAUUCAGAUGGGAUGGUGGAGCCAACAGAGUACAUAUCUAAUUCCCACUUGAUUAUUUGGUAAAUUGAAUUUGAAAGACUUCUGAAACUUUCUUAUUGCUGUCUGUCCAGAUGGCCUAUUAAAUUAGAUAUGACAAAGCGCACUGAUUUCCGGCAUGUCAAAACAACAUUUUCCAAUACUCCGCCACACAGAGUGAGUUGUUGAACACGCUAUUCAAUUUCUUCUCUCUCCCUCCCUCCCUCUCUCUAUCUCUCUCACACACACACUGGCGCACCCAUAAACACACAUACAUUGUGGUAGCGCUACUGCCUUCUACAAUAUCUCAGUUCCUAAGCUUUGUCUUGGUCUUGUAUGUUAGCCGGGCAUCAAAAGUAGGUAGUUUCAAUUUGUUUGGCAGAUAUAAGUGUUUUAAGUGUAUUGAAAUCUUUUUGUCUGACUGCUAGAAGAUCACGGAUGAGGCUGGUACUUUUGUUUGCUUUUGUUUCUAAAACUAAUUUUUUUAAAUGUUCAGGAAUUAUCUGGAGUUUCCUUUCUAAUUGUUAUCACUUUUAUUUUGUUUCCUUCUAAUGGUUAGUUGAUGGAAAUAAGGCUGCGCAUGCCUAAUCACGUCAUCUUAUCUGAAAUUUUUUGAGCUGAUUCAAAUUAGUGUAGGUCAUAAGAUUUUGGAUUAUGGGUAAAAACUCUUUUUUCUUUUUUCUAUUUCUUUUUCCGUCAUUAGUUACUUCACAAACUAGCUUUACAAAGCCGAGUUAACUGGAGUUGUAACAUGACUUAAUUUUAUAUAAUGGCCUUCUCAGCUCUCCUUCCUUUCCUCCAAGAGACUUGAAUUGUGUUCCCCAUUUUAUAUUUGCUUCUCUAUACAUCCUCUUGCAAAUAUGUAUCUUAUCCCAUGAGAUCUGCACAAGGCAAGUUUUUGGCUAUUUCUAUGAUUUCAGUUAUUCGAAGUCUUUGUUUCUUUCAUCCUUUAUCCUGGAUAUCUUGAUUAUUUAAGCUGGUGUGAAAUGUAACAGUACUAUAUUUUAUAAAUGUGAUGCAGAGAGAAAUAUGCUGGUUGCUUCCCUCCUCUCAGGACGACAAUAAGGGUGUAAGUUUAUCCUUCUCUGCUUUUUAAAAUAUGGAUGUUUAAACCAGGUACACGGGAGCAAUGAUUUGUACACAAUUUACCAUGAUUUAUCGUAAAUGCAUACCCUUAUAUUUUUUAACCCCCUUGCUUAUGGUAACUUUCUUGAUUUUAGCUUUCUAAAUAGUUAGUGGAAUUAGACAACCCGUAAAGUUCUCAAUGUGGCAAGGUAUUAAUGGGAUUCACUGAAAACUCUUCGUGCUUGCACAUGCCUCUUAUUUGGUGGCAUCAUCUCCUCCAAUUUAUGCUUAGCUGAUGAUACUGCAUCUUGAUGCAAGAUGAGAUUCUCAUUUUGCAGAAGCUUUAUGCUAUUGUGUCAAAUACCUUCGUGGAUUUGAUUUCUGGUGAAAUUUGACUAACUAAAUGUAAAUUCAUUGACUACUAUAAGGGUACUAUUCUGUCUGGUCUCACGAAUACUUGUAUUCUUGUGCAGUUUCAAGAUUUUGUAGUAUACUUGCAACAAAGGCAAUGUGCAGGAGUAAUCAAAAUCCCAGCCAUGAAAUCCAUGUGGGCAAGGCUUCUUUUCAUUCUUCCGUAUUCACCCGAUGUGUGUUCCAUGCUAUCUAUUGCUCCUAAUCCCUCACUUUGCCUUCUUGGUUUGGUCUUGCCUAAAGAAACAAACUUUGAAUGGGUUUGACCUGUUGAGUGGUGGAGGUAAGGAAGGAAAAGGAAGAUUGACUUCUAUUAGGUGACAUGUUUCUUACUAGUAUAUUUCAGAUGCCUGAAUUCUCCAAGAAUUUUGGCAUUGAUUAACUUUUGCAUGAAAUAUCGUAGUUUCAUUCAAUACCCUGUAAAUCAGCAUAAAUUUCUGAUAGUCUGGAUGAACUCCUUUGCUAGGUAAUAUCUUCAUGAAUUUGUAAGCAUUAAUUAGUCUGAUGUUGAUAAAGGUUGCCUAUUUUUGGUGCAUUGCUAGAUAUAAAAUCUUAUGUUCCAAAGUGUUCAUAUAUGUUAUCUUAUCCAAGCUUAACUUUGCUGGUUCAUAGCUAAUCUCUUCGGAGUUUGGAUGGGAAAGCAGCUCAAGGAGAUGUUAUUAAACUUUAAACAUCUUGUUUUAAGUUUGUAGAAGUCUGUAUAUGAAUGUGUAUCAUCCACAGGAUGACUGAUGAGGAUGACUAAUUUUUCCAUCUUUAGCUUUGUGAUAUGCUCAGCCACAAAGGUUCCGCUUUAGAUUUCUUUCCCCUGUGCCAGUAUGCCAGCAUAGAUUCCACGUUAGCGAAUAAUUGAUUGAUCUCAUAGUCUUGUGCUGCGAAAAUGAUAAAAGGUGUCACAGAAUUAAGUAGGUUUUGUGAAUGCUUCCUGUAGUUCCCUCAAACUUUAAAAUUUGGAUGAAAUGAUUGAAAUUUUAUUGCUACCGCAAGAAUCAGGUUGUCAACCAAGUUAUCCUCACUCUACUGUAAUUGGUUGUUGAGAAUUUGUUCUCGGUACGUGUAGGUAUAGUGAAAGUACCCCAUUAAUGUUAAAAAUACGGUUCCACAGUCUUUGUUUAUAACCUCUUUUGGACGUCAACCUGAACCUAGGAUUUGAAGCAGCGUUGGAGUAACAAUUGGCUAAUAAGUAGUAGCUUUUAUGGUUAAUUGGCCUCUCUAUCAUUUUUGCCAUUUCAAAGGUAAUUGUAAAAUUAAAAAUGUUGAAGGAAAAUCAAGAUAAUUUUAAAAUUUCUGCACAAAUUCCAGGAAAAGGUAUUAUGAUCACGCUCAUGACGGUGUACUUUGUUCUUACCAAAGGCCCUUAUAUGCUCCUACCAAAAGAAAAAAAAGAAAAAAAAAAUUGCAUGCGGUACCCACUCCUUUGUCAAUCCACCUUUUUUUUUUUUUAGGGGUUUCAAAAGCCAUCUCUCUCCUGCACUAAUUUCCAGGUAAAAAAUAGGACUAGAGCGAACUUCCAAAGUUUACCUUUUUAAAUUACAAAAAAGUUUGAGAAACAAGUGCAAAUCCAAUAUGUUUAAAUUCUAGUAAAAUUUGGUCCAUAUGAUGAAAUACAAUCUAAGUUUCAUCAAAAGUCUUGCGUGAAUAAACUAAACAAAUUCACUAUCAAUCAAGAUCAAGUUAGUUUCUCAUGUAGUAAUGUUGUAUUUUAUGUUAAAUGGAAUAAUAACUAAGCCAAACUCACACACAUUCUUAACCUUCAUAUAAAAAUGGUUUUUUUUUUUUAUUGGGUGCUCAAGAGCACACUCAUUAGUACACUUAGAUCACACUUAUCUUUUGUUGCAUUUGUAUGUUUUUCCUCAUUAGCAUUACUUUCCAAAAAUAUGAACAUGCUUUCUCUAGUUAACAUUAUUUUUCUAAAAUAUGAAUACCUAAAAUCCGUUUUAAUGAGUAUUUAAUGGGCACUAGUUAGACAAUCUCUACAAAAAUUAAACAAAAUAUUUUUUUUGGAGAACUUAUUAUUUUUUGUAAGUUUUCAGAAAAACUAAAAUAAAACAAGAAAAAAAGUUGUUCAGGGGACUUUUUAUUUUUUUUAUGGGAUAAUUUAGUAAUUUCAAAUAGCUCUCCUCACGUUUUGAAAAUUACACAUACCUCUCCUAAAACAUAGGUUUGGGUUUCACCUUGAUGAUGUAAAACCAAAAAAGUAUAUGAACGCCCAAAAUUGCCUCAUCUAAAUUUCCUUAAUAUGAAUAAUCAUUAAAAUUUUUAAAAAGUCAAUAAUACACUUGUAUACUACCAAAAUUAUGAGUUUUAUUAUUUAGCCAAUAUUUUGAUAUUUUCCAUCCCUAUGGUUUUCUACAUCCACCCAAAUUUUCAAACUCUUAUCACUUUUUCUUCUUGUGAACAAACUCUUUGUCUUAGAUGUCAAAAUCCACCUUCGUAAUUCUUACCUUCAUAAUUUUUACCUCUUUAUAGGUUUCUUUCAUAUAUUGCUUACCAAAUCAUUAGUCAUAAAACUCACAAUUCUUACCUUUUUUUCACUCAAACGGCCAAGCCCUCAGUUACCAAAAUCAUUCUAACCCAUACUUUCAACAUUUGGGUUGGUCAUUCUAAAUCAACCCACAUUUUUUUUUUCUUCUAAAUUGACAUAAUUUUAUUGAGAACAAGUUUGAUGUCUAUUAAGAGAAACUAGGCAAAACAUCAACAAAGUGCAAGUUUGGGAUAGUAGUUUUAGUACAAUUUAUCAAAUUUUACUUUUCUGUAAUCCAGUAGUUUUUUUGUGCUCAAUGAUAUGAACAAUUGAGUUGUUGAUAGUGAUGAUUGCUUCCAUCAUCAUCAACAACGGUAACAUAUUUGAGUGAUAGAAAGGAAGGAAACAUCUAUCUUGAUUAGCAUACUUGAGUGAUAGAAUGUUAUAAUUUAAUGGUUAUGGUUAAAAUAGUUUGGCCACAAUAUAUGGCUCGGUCAAAAAGAAUUGUUUUCCUUUUUUCAUUAUCCUUUUUCUGUUAUCUUUUUCCUUUUUUAUCAAUGGCUUGUCUUUUGAAAAAUUAUGAAGGUUAUUAUAGUCAUUGUGUAUCAUUAAGGGAAGUAAGUGUAAUAUUGAAAACCUCAAGGAGCUCAGUGAAAUUGUUAGAAAUUCAAGGGAGGUUUCUAAAAUUAGCCCCUUUUUUAUUUGUAGAUUGGUCAAGGUGGCGACUGCUACUUAUAUAUAUGUUGCUGGCGACUGCGAGUAUUCAGUACCGAAUCCCUUCUCUGCUGUCUCCCCUUUCUCUGAAUUUGCUCACAAAAAUGUCGAAUAGAUUCGGCAAUCAGAAUUACAGGAAUGAAAGUAACAAAAAGGGAUUUCAUAAAACUCAAAAGCAAUUUAUUCCUAAGAAAGAAUCAUCUGCAGAUCAAACCUUCUCCAAUUCUUUAAGACAAUCCUUUUCCCGCCAAUCCGAUGCAACAUCCAGCGCCGCUGCUGCCGGCCGAAGUGGAGGUGGCGGUGCAACGGCGGCUUCUGGGAAUAGUAAGGUUAAGAUGGGGGAGAAUGGGAACUGGGUUUCUGAUAAUAGUACUACUGGAAUUCAGACUGGCAAUUAUGUUAAUUACUUGCCCCAAGAUGAGGCGGUGGCAUCUGGGCUAGGGGCUGAUGAGGGUGGAGUGGACCCUGUGGAGUCUCAGCGGGUGGUGGAUCUUCUGAACAGGGAGUUGUCUCGGUUGCUCAAAUUGAAGCCCAGAGAUUUUUGGAAAGAAGGUUACCAUUUUGUCUUUCUUCAAAAAAUUUUUUUUGUUUUCUGCUAGUAAACAGUUUGCAUUUUUUUUUAAUUAGUUCAUUUUGAAUUGAGAAGAGUCUUAUUAAAUGGUGAUAAAUAUGUAGGAUGAAAAACUAUUGCCUUAGAAUGAAGGAGCCGGCAGGGUUCCCUUUGUGCUAAUAGUGACAAAUUCAAUCUUCUUUCAAGGUUUAGCUUUGUACAUUUUUGACAAAUUACAAUGCCAAUUGAAAGAGUAUUUUCAGCAAUAAGGUCAAGGAAUUGUGAAAUGCUGUUGGAAUUUGUUAUGGAAUUAGUAUAUUAGUCAUAUAACUAGAAAUUAUUGGCAUGCCACAUAUGAAUAAUUACUUAUGCUAAGCGUGCUCGUAAUGAUGUUGACCCCUUUCCUUUUUGUUUUUCACAGUGGCCAGCGACACCUCUCUGCAUGCUUUUCUAGAAAGCUUCUUGAAGUACAAGAGCAGAUGGUAUGAUUUCCCAUAUCGUGGAGCCAAGGGUAUAGUCGCUGGAGUCAUUGUUGGGGAGUUUGAGCUGUGUCGCCGUGUAUUUAUGGUCUUGUAUAGAAUGUGAGUUUUGAAUGCUGUAGUUAAAUUUCUAUGAUAGGUUUCAUUCUGUGAGGUGGAGAUUUUUAGAUUUGAUUGAUUCGGAUAUCGUACCAUCCAGAUCUUCAAAUCGGGAUCCUGGUGCUAAGACAGCUGAUAGUCUCAGUUCAAAAGAUCAUGCAGGUAUGUGGUUCUGUAAGAAGCAUUUGCAAAUGAUAUGUUGCCCUAGUUGUUGGAUACGAAUGUGCUGCUGGUGACUUAGAGAAAACCCACCCCCCCCUCCCCAAAAAAAAAUAAUUAUAGCAUGCUGUUCUAUAUGCAUACUGGAAGGUAGAUUCUUUUGCCUUCCAAUGCAUCACACGCUAUUUGGUAGUUAAGAGAGCAUGUCUUGGUAUUUUUCCCCCUGUUUGUGAUUUGUUCUCCAUUGGUUGUUGAGAUAUAUAAAUGUGCUAUAUAGGCACUGAAAACACUGAGCUGCAGAGUUUUCAAGUAGUAGUUUUAUAUUUUGACAUAUGCUGGACUUCUUUGGAAUGCACUUUGUUCACUAAUUCCAUUUGUAGUUCUUCUGCAGGACAAGAAGUUGCUUGACUUGCCAAAGUUACUAGAUAUCUGUGCCAUAUAUGGUCAUGAGAAUGAAGAUCUUACCAGAUUAUUGGUAAGUGUGUGGGAUUAAACUGGUAUACAAUUUUGUUUCUUCACAAUCCUUUGCUAUUGUGCUUCUGUCUGUUACAUCAUGCAGGCUAUAAAUCGUUCUGAAUUGUUCAUGGGACCCCAACUCAGUCUUCUUCUUCUUCUCUUCUGGUUUUGCCAAAUUUGGAAAACUGCUGGGUUUUUUUUUUCUUAUGAAGCAUUUUUGUGUUUUGGGUAUUUAUUUACAUGAUAUUGGAUGCUUUUAAUGGUUCUGUAUCUCUGUGUCAUCAUCAUCAUUUAGCAUAAAGCAUGCCUAAUGUCAUUCUUUGUAAUUGGACUCUAGUUACUGUGUUUUUUGUUUAUUGGUUUCUGGGCUACCCUCAUUUGUUUUGCUGGUUAGCUAUAUGCUAUUUCUUCCUUGCUGAAAAUGUCUUUUUAAUCUGUACCAUGCUGUAUGCAGUGUUUGUUCAAAUACUCAGCCUGUCAUAUCGUUUUAAUUAGAUUUCCCUAUAAUAUCAUUAGCUGAAUUUAUUGGUUUUUUUCUGUAAAAAAACACAUUUGCUGGUUGAAUUUCUGGUUUUAGUUUGUUAUUUGCAUCUUGCAUCAAUGAGUUUUCGGUAUAUUGAUAUUAAAAUCUUACAACUAAUGUUGUGCCUGCAAACAUGUUGAAAAAGGCCUGUGGUGUAUGAGUUGGUAGCUCUUUCCCUAUUUCCUCUCUCAUGUUGCUGUGUUUAAUGAUGUUCCUCAGGUUGUGAAUGCAAUAAAAGCUCAGUGGUGGAUGCAUGAUAAGUUUACAGCAGUUUUGUCACAUUUUCUGACCCUCAUCCAGACAAUGUAUCAACGUUGUAGCUCAUCUUUAGAGGUGGUCUUUCUUCUUCUGUUUGCGUUUAUAUGUUUCCUGGAAGGUGGAGUAGAUGCUAAGAACAAUACAUUUUUUAUGAUAUUAUUAUGACAAAACAUUUUCAUUAAAUUUUUUCAAUCUGCUUUUUGGUGAGCUUAGACUUAUAACAGAUGUUUUUUCCCAGGACCUGGUUUAAUUUUUCUCCAUCUUUGCAUGGUUCUUUAUUGGUUAUGAACAUUACAUUUAGCAAAAGCAUCUUAUAUGAUGUGCCUGUUGUAUACUUGCUCAUGGCCGGGCAUGGUUGUGCAAACGCACAACAUAUGCCCAUUGCCACAUGCACAUAGUGUAUGGUGAAUCAUGAUUUUCAUCUGCAUUUAGUUGACAUUUUAGGUGACAGGAGAAAAUUAUGAUUCUCAUAAGAGUGGUGAAGUCAUAUGUAUUUCUCAUCUGUAUACAUAUGUUAUAUUUUUUUUCAGCGCUGGGUAGUGUUUAGUAUAAUGUGAUUAGUUGGUGGAGUUAAAAUUGGUAUCUGAAAGUUUAGGAUCUAAAGGUGAUAAUCCCAUUUGGAUUGUUAGUUUAAGUGUCAAUUAGAUGCCCUUAUUGGUCCUCAAAGUGCUUCAAUUUUUUUUCUACUGAAUUCUAGGCAACCAGCUGGAUUGGAUUUUUAAAGUUUAUUUCCUAAAUCAAAGUUGUUGAAGGACUGUACAAUGUGAUGGAGAAAAUGAAAAAUUUUAUUCUAGCAAAGUUUUUCUUGUUUACCUGAUUUGUGAGUAAUUUGUGUUGAAGAGUUAUGCUAUGUAUUUGAUGCGGAUGCAUGUCCAUUUGCAGGUCCUCUUUGCCACAGGUAACUUACAGGAUCAACCAGUUAGUCGGCUUCGUGCAGACUACUUAGAGGUAGCUUUUUCUUCAUUUCUUCAUAGAUUUUUAGGGUAGUCCUCUUCCAAUACCCUCCACUCCCCAUUACCCCUGCCAACAACACCCUUUUUGCUGUACAAGUAGAAGAAGAAAAUUUCUCAUUGACAACCAAAACAAAAACAAAUGAAGCACUGAGAAAUUCCUCCUUUUCCCUUGGGGAUUGUAGAAUAAUUUCAUCAGAGCUUUCAGAGAAAAAGCAUCUUACCAUUCUAUGAGGACCAUCCUCAGUCCUUAAAAGGGUUUAGUUGGUUACCAAAAGCUAAUGUAUGUUUGCUUCAAAUGGGUGGUUAUUUUGAAGCUGUCAUUGUUUCUCCUCACUUUCUAGAAGUACCAAUCUGUCACCACUUUUUAAUAGUUCAUCAUUGUCUUACUAUCAUUUGCAGGUUAUGGAUUUUAUAAAUGAUGCAGUUGUCAAUAUGGAUGCAUUUGUUGCUGCAUACAAGUAUGCAGCUGUCUUCUUCUGUUGUCCUGUUGAUAUGAGGUAUUGCAUUCACUCUGGAAGUUCCCCUCGUACAACCAUUCAAACAUUGUAGAUGCACUCCAUUUCAAUUAGACGUACGAGGCUAAUGCAAUCAUAACAAUAACCAAUGUUUUUGGCAAACUCAAUGUGUGUCCAUAUUUUUUGAUGUAUAUGUUAUUAGUUAAGUGUGAAAAAAGAUUUUUUUUUUUAUUUUGUGCUAGCAGUUUGAAGGAAGUUUUUAACUUAUUCUAAAUAUCAUUAAGACAGAGAAGGGGAAGUAGGUCAGUUAAAAUCGAGAUGAAGAAGGGUAUUUUAGGCAUUCUAUUAAGUGGCAGAAAAUUUUUACACAAAUGACUGCUCACACUUCAGAGAGAUACUUUUGGGUAACCCAUAUAGCUAACUGGCUGAAUGAACUAGUCAAGGAGACAAUUCUGCUUUAGAAACAAAUUUGAACAUGAUAAGAAUGACCCCACUAAAGCUUGCUUAAAGUUGCCUCAGCAUUUUGCUAGUAGAUGCAUUACAUUUUUGCUCUUCAUAGACAAAGGAAUUUACUGAAUGACGUUACAUGGCAGGAGGAUGAGAAAAAAAAUGUUGUGCUUCAUUGCAAUUUAGUAAUAUUGUGAACCCACAUAUUCCCCAAUUAUCUUGGUUUCAAAUUCCCCAUCUAUGUUGAGCAUUAAUGAGUCAACCACAUUUUUAACCAAGGAAAUUACCAGUAGUCAUCAACAAGGAAGAAAAUAGUUGUUGAUAGGUUCAAUCAUGAUGCAGUUUUAUGCCUAAUUUUUCUAUCUGCAUGCUUUAAGAAGUCAUGUAAUUUCCUUCUCCCUACAGCCAUGGAAAUUAACCAUUCCUUCUCCCUACAGCCAUGGAAAUUAACCAAGGAAAUUACCAAGGAAAUUCCUUCUCCCACAUUUUUAACCAAGGAAAUUACCAGUAGUCAUCAACAAGGAAGAAAAUAGUUGUUGAUAGGUUCAAUCAUGAUGCAGUUUUAUGCCUAAUUUUUCUAUCUGCAUGCUUUAAGAAGUCAUGUAAUUUCCUUCUCCCUACAGCCAUGGAAAUGAGGAGCUGCUCACUACUCUUGCAAGACUACAUGAUUCACUACUGCCAUCAUUGCAGAGGGGUUUUCACAUUAUUUUGGCUUCAAGAGAUGACGCAAUACAGGAAACAUCUGGUGACAUGCUUUCAGAUAUUUUAAUCAGUUUGAAGUUGUUGUCAACGAGAAUAGUAAAAUUUGGUUGGAAACUACUGUAUUUCUGUUAUUUAAGUGAUGAGGCAUUUGAAAAUAGUUGUCCUUUUCCGGCAUCUAUGAAGAUGUUUCCAGCAAAUGUGGAUGACCCUAUCAUAAGGACAGACAUUUUGGUACAAACACUAAGAGAUAUUGGCCAAGAGUUCUCAAGCAUAACUGAGGCAGAAAAAAGAGGAACUUUUCUCCAAAAUAUUGAGAAGGAGCACAAGAUCAUGAGCAGAGUUGUGUUAUUACAAAACACAGGUACAAUUCUAUGUGUAACGAGGUUUUAGAUUAGAUGGUUGGCUUCCUCUAGAGUUAUGAGACAUUAUCAGAUGACAUUAAGAGUUACCUCACUAGAAGGUAUAUACAAAAAUAUAGCUAUAUGUUUCAGGAUUUCAUGUCAGAGGGUGAUUUUUGGAAAAUUUUAGGAAUUGACAGUUAAUACUGUUACAUGUAGCAUAUUCAGUUUUAUGCAUGUGAGAGAUUAUUGUUGCAAUGCAGUGUCUGUUAUAUUCCCAGAGAAGGAUGACAUAGUUUCAUGGAAGACCUUACCAUAGACAGAGAUAAACAUGCCCCUCUCUCUCUCUCUCUCUCUCUCCCCGCUGGUGUUUGAAAAUCAUUAAGCAAUUCCCGGAGGUCUCUCACGAAAUAUAUCAAUUUUGUUGUUUCCAAUGCUUGUUUUUCAUGGUAGUGUGCAUAAACGUCUUACCAAACGCAGCAUGUUUUGAGACUUCGACUGUUUUUUCCCCUUUCUUUUGCAGGAUGGAUGUCUUUGGAUGAUGAUCAGAAGCAGUUUCUUUCUGGUAUCCUUAAGCAUCCACUGGAAACCAAUGCAAAUGAUGCAUCGCACACAGCAUCUUCAGGAACAGUUGGUAGCGUGCAGACUGAUGAAGACAAUGCAAUUUUGGAGUCAAAAAUCAGUCAAAUAAAAGAUUUGUUCCCAGACUAUGGCAAAGGGUUCUUAGUUGCUUGUCUUGAAGUAUAUAACCACAAUCCAGAAGAAGUGAUUCAGAGGAUCCUGGAGGGAACCCUUCAUGAAGAUCUUCAAUCCCUGGACAUAUCAUUGGAGCAAAGUCUAGUAAGAAAAUCAGCUGUGUCUGCAAGCACGAUGGGCAAGGGAAAAGGUAAACUGGUAGAAUCUGCAACCCCCAUGAGUCAACUUGUAGCCUAUCAACCUGAGGGUCCAUCAAUUUCAUCUUCCUCAUCUUCUAUAGGAAGGUAUAUCAGGAAGACUGCUACUGACUUACCGGAGACGGAGACCCUGGAUUGCAGGGAUGAGAAGUACAUAGAAAAAACUUCCGCUCUUGUUUCACAACUAGAGUACGAAGAUGAAUAUGAUGAUUCUUUUGAUGAUCUGGGCCUUAGUGUUGGUGAUUCAGGGUUGGAGGAGACUGAGAUUUUGGGUGACAAAUUAGCUUCUGAUAAGGGAAAAGCAAGGGCGGCUGAUAAUGAUAGCUCAGCUCCAAACACUACCUCAAAAUGGAACUCUCGUAAAAAGCCCCAGUUUUAUGUCAAGGAUGGUAAGAACUACAGCUAUAAAGUGGAAGGUUCUAUCGCCGUUGCUAAUUAUAAUGAGGCCAAACUAGUCAGUCAAGUCCAGAAGGAAACUAUCCUUGGUCUUGGACGUGGCGGGAAUAUUCCAUUGGGUGCAGUUAGAAGGUUGGCUGAGUCUAAUGAAGAAACUGAUGUCGGACCUGAUAGUAAUGAAGGUGCAGGAAGAGGUGGUAGGGGGAACUUCAGGGGCAGAGGAAGGAGAGGUGGUGGAAGAAGCCAUUACCGAAAAGAUCAAGCUACGAGGAAGCAUUUUUCUGGAGUAAUGAAUUGAUUCGUACAACUAUACCCUCUUUUCUGUGAUACUAAUAUAAGAUCUCGUUGUAUAGUUAAUUGUACAGAAGAUAAAAUUUUCUUUAGUGAGGGAAAAUUUCAUAUUUUACAGGAACAAUAGCAUACUGAUUCUGGUGUUUUGAGACUGGUUGCGCGGAAGUUACUGCAUCUGGUAAUGGGUUAAUAACAACAUGCACCCGUGAGAAAUACAUAAUUUUUAUUUUACCCCGUGCAUUGUCCAAUUGCAUCAAUACGACUUUUUUUCCCCCCAAUAUGAUGCACUUCACUUAGUAAACCAAUUUGACUAUGUUUUCAUAAUUUAAGUCCAUUAAAUACAUCCACAAUGAUUUACACUUUUUAGAAUGUAAUUCACAUGUCACGUCAGCAUUCCAUUUUCUCCUCUUUUAUUACACUUUCACUCAUAAUGGAUUACACUCCACAAAGUAUAAUAGUAUGGGUCCACUAUUAAAUUAAAUAUUUAUUUUAAUAAUGCAUGACUCAUAUCCCAUAAAUAAAUAAAGUAGUUUUUAAAAAUAAUUUUGUUAUUUUUAAAUAAUAAAGUAUUAAAUUUCAUUAAAUUUUUUACCUUUUGAAUUUUUUAUUUUCUAAAAAUAAUAUUAUUAAUUUUCUAUAUUUGGAGCAUUUAACAUAUUUGUAAAACUACUAAAAUUUUCAUCCAUAAUCACAAAAUAUUGAAAUUUUAAAAAAUUGUGCACAAAGGUUGAGGAAAAUGAGUGAGAGAGUAAAAGAAAUAAUAGAAUAGAAUAGUGGGAUAUGAAAAAAAAAGUGUGUUGUGUGUUUAUAUAGAAAAUUAAAUUAUGAUUGUUGGAAAAAAAUGAACGUUGCAAAUGGACUCCACAAUUGCAAAAAAAUGAACACGGCUAAAUUUUAUAAUAGAUAGCUCACCCAUUACACGCAUCAUUUUGAUGAUGCGUGUAAUGGGUAUUACACAGCCACAAUGGAUAGCCAUGUAACCAACCCUUAAACUGUCAGACAUUACACCGCUUAUUCCACGCAGUUGGAGAUGCUACGUAGUUGGAGAUGCUCUAAGAUUCGAUGAAACGACCUAAAUGAAAUGAUAACUCGGGAAGAAAGGUAUGGCCGCGCGCAUCCAUACAUAUCGAGCGACAAACAUACCCUCCUAGUGAUGGCUUGCGGACAAUGAUGAUCUUAUCAUGUGUAGACCUUUUUCACAAAUUGAGACACAAUUAGUUCUUCCCUUGAAAUAUUUACUCCUCAGACGACGACAAUUAAUUGUAUUCAAUGUAGGGUUGCGAGGUUGAUUGUCUCGCACUAUAAAAUUUGAAACUUUGGAAGCGUGAAUCGAUCUAAUCAAACAAUGAAGAGGGCAAAGUGGAUUAUACGUCCUCCCUAAAGAGGUACUUUGGCAAUUGACUUUCAAUCUCUUUGGUAACUAAUGCUGUAAGCAUCCGUAUCUAAAGACAAAGGAUGCUUUGCCCUAUACACCUAAUCUCCGGUGAUUUAUGCUUUUGCUUUUCUGCCGGCUGAGGCUUGCAUAUUUUCCCCCCCACCGGGCAAAAUGGAACCUGAUCUAUUUUGUAUCCCGACAAUCUACUACUUGAUAUACUAGAAUCGUGAAACAGGGAUCAUGCGGCAAUACGAGCAAGGAGAUCAAACGAGCACAACAUCAUUGAUAUUUGCACUGUCAAAAUGCUGAGACUUGCACUUUCACUGCAACUUCUGUCUUUGGGAGACAAAAUAGUUCAUCCCAGUAAACAGUUUAUCAAAUGCAGUUAUGCCCAACAUUCUACUACAUUAAAACCUUAUUCAUUUAAUUAGUACAAAGAAUAACACAUCCAGUAUGGGAAACUAGCACGCUAUGUGAUUACUACUAAAAC
rnacentral:lncRNA from 1 species